rnacentral:lncRNA from 1 species
GAUCCAUGGAACACUCGAGAGACUCUGAUCUAUCCACCACGGUACCCCCGGGCUUUUUUGCCUUAGUCCGUUAGACAGUCGGUACGUACUGUCCGUGCUGCCGCGUUUUUGGCUUCUUGUUCUUGUUGCUAGUGUAACCCUGCGCUACUUAAGUCUUGUGAUUCGUUUGUGUGUAAGAUUAAGGCAGUGAGGAAGAGAGAGAUCUAGAGGAAGAGAGGUAGAAACAAGGAGAGAGGAGAGAAGAGGAUAAAAAUAAAAAAAACAACGUGAGCUAGCUAGCUAUAGGAUCUGCAAACACUGUGAGAUCAAGCGUGAGUUCAGUUUGGAGUAGCUAGCUUUUUGUUGCCCCCGGCUAGUUAAGCCAAAAGGCUACCAUAUAGCAUGUAUGUUUGUUCUUUAUUUUGCUCGAACCAUUUGUACUGUGGGCUCGUAAUAAUACCGAAAUACCGGACCAUGAAAUGUUGCUGUUCAUUGGGAAUCGUUCAUGACUUUUGCUUCUGAUGAUUGUAUGUCAGUGAUGAUCUGCUUUAAUUUUUGUCAGUGCGCACAGUGUGCUUUCUAACCUUUUCCCGCUGUUUUUGAGGCAAACAUUCUCUUUAUCAUAUGCUAACCGAGAAGCUUAUACUCUCUCCUAUCCCUAAGUGUCUUAAAUUUAGUAGAACUUUGGUCAUCCAGAAAUAAGUGUCUCAACUUCAGUAAAACUUUAGUACACUUAUUUUUAGGACGGAGGAAGUAUUAAUUAAUUUGAUGCACAUGCUGAAUUGUGGAUCAUGCUAGUAGCUUUGCACAUAAAGGAGGCAUGACUUUCCAUCGCAAAAAAGAGAGGCAUAACUUGGAUUAGUAUAUCUUAGUUUGGAAUAUUUCAAACCUUAGAUGGGGUAUCAGUAAUAAGUCAGUAGUAAGCCAAGUGUUACACAUGCCUCAUCUGCAAAACAAAAUUUACAAAUGCCAUGAUAUGUGUGUUUCUUUCACUUGUAUAUAUAGCUAGCUAGCUACAUUCUCAAAACUCAAGUUUAUCGCUGUGUAGCAACAUCGUUACCAUGUUUUACGCUGUAAACGUUAUAUAUCAGGGAGUGUUUGUGGUGAACUUAUCCCACAAACAACCAAACAUACCCAAGCUAAGAUCUAAUGAGAUCAGUAUAUUGACAGACAGAUCUUCUGCAGUGUCCUCGUUUUUUUUUGUCUCCAGUCCACACAUGUUGAAAGUUCAUAAUAAUUUGGGCUGCCCUUGCAUGCAGAGACCCGAAGAGUUUUAUACUCCACAGUUAUCGAGAAUCUACACAUGUUGUCUCAUUCUAUACAGUGAAGAGUCUACCCACUAUGUACAAAUUACAAAUUAGGAAGAAAUGACCUUUUUUAGAAAAAGUCUUGGCUCCUUUGGUUAUCCGUACACAAAUAUAUUUAUAGAAUUUCAGUCCAUCAGAACUUCUCCACUGAGAUAUUUGUGUCCAAACAAUGAGACCUUCCAAAUUUUACUUCGCAAUUCUCUAGGAUUCGUAGCAAGAAGAUAGACCUUGUAAUUUUCAUUUGUGUCUGUGUAAGAAGAUGCACGCUCCGUUUAUGAUCAUCUCUACAAUGUGUGAAGAAUCAAGACCUGUUUAUGAAGCUUGAAGAACAUUGGAGGGAUACUUUUUUCCGAUAUGGAUGGCAGCAUGAUCUUAGGAUUGGCCUCCCACGGUUUAGGUGUCAUACAAUCUUCAUGAUUACUUGUAUUUCGCCUUUUAUUUUCUGAGGUUGGACUUGAUUUGGUUGUGCUCAUCUUAGUUAUAUAUGCAAAGGCCGGGUGUAAUACUUAAAACUUUUAAGUAAUAAAGGGCCCUUUAUCAAAAAAAAUAUACACUCAACCUUCCUCAACCUCCAUACAAAAAUCAUGUGCUUUCAAUUUCUGGUAGUGAUAUCAGAUAACUUCCAUUAUCAACUUUUUUCAGUUUCUGUAGGAUUCAGUGUCAUUAUAUCAUUGUGUUUUUCUUUAUGCUACUACAUUUUAAAUUCUUGCAUUCCAAAGAGGCCCUAAAAGGUCACAAUCAUAAAGAAAAGUUCUAUCAUUACUACUACCUCUGUCCCGGUGUAUCAGUCAUUCGCGUAGUUCUAGGUCGACAAUUUAACUAUCUAAAUAUGUAUUACAUGUGACAAUAUAUAUAUAUAUAUAUAUAUAUAUAUAUAUAUAUAUAUAUAUAUAUAUAUAUAUUACAUCCGUGUAGAAUUCUAGUGAUAUACUUUUCAUGACACAUAACACAUAUUUAAAUCCUCAAAUCGAUGACUUAGAACUACGCGAAUGACUUAUACACUGAGACGGAGAUAGUAUUUGGACCUUAGGGUUGUAGCAAAGGAACUUUAUAUACCAUAACUAUUACUAUAAAUUAAGGAAAAUGCAAACACGGGUGAACUCUAAGCUUUAAUUUCAUUGAUAAGGAUUAGGGGCAGAAUGAGCAGCAUGCUAAGCUUGGGGUUUAGCUAGCUUAAGAGUUGCACUAUAGUGAUUUUCUUACUUUGUAAGAAAUAAAGCAAGGAUUGUUUCUCGAGGCCUGUCUCCGCUCCGGGCAAGGAUCACGAAGACCAAAUGAGGUGGCGUGUAUAGCACAUGCGGUGUAUAUGUCAUCAAGGCUCACUAUGGCUUAAUUAAGUACUGCACGAAUCACUAUACAUUUUCCCUACAUUUUGUGGUGAAUAUUCAUUUUGUUCUUAUUAAUAAUCUGAUUGUUGAUGCUUGUAUAUGCUCCUUUUAAAAAGGUGGGAAGCACCUAAUGAAGACUAGAGUUGCAAAGUUGCAAAAUUGAUGAAGUCAAUGCCUCAUUAUCGACAGGAAUGUCGCGUCUGACUAAAAGGAUAAUCAACGUUAACGAGACACACUUUUAACCGUCCAGUCACACAUGGGUUCUCUUGUUUUAAAAAUCAAGACUAUCUAGGACUAGCCUUUGGAGACAUAUGUUUAUAAGAGAAACACUAAGCAUCACGGGUCACUCCGUGACUCGAACCCGGCUGGGCUAGAUAGCCUCGAACCCGGGUGGGCUAGAUAGCUCCAAUGCUAUCCUAGCCAAUAGGUUGACACCCUGUUCUCCCAUAUUGUUUCUUCACUAGCUAUAAGAUGAGGCACUCCUUUUUUUUUGAGAUACAAGAUCAGGCAUUACUUAUUCCCAAUAAUUUCAGAAUUAAGGUAGAAGUAAGCUAGACUCCUACCUAAAUGAGUGGGUUUGCAAGCUUGAAUGUCUAUCCCCUACAUCCUGCUAGACGAGUUCGCUUUAUUCAUCCCCAAUAAUCCGACUUCGUAAUCUAAGAAUAAUCCAAGAUUGUACCUUUGUUCAUGUAAGUUACACAGACUGACCAUGCCCAAAUCUCUGUGGCAGUUUAGCAUAUGGCAAAUGAAAUGUAAAUGUUUUCUUUUAGAAAGACAGUACAGACGCAGAAAAUGAAAUGCAGAGUGUGAUUGUGCUUGAAAGACAAAGGGACAUACACGCAUGGGGGCGCUACAGGAUUGAGACCGCGGCGGUACUACCGUAGUCAGGCAGGAGGAAAGAAAUCGGUCAAGCAAUUUUCUUGUCACCUUGCACAGGCCACACGAUUGAAAAGCACGCAGGCGCGAAAGAGAGUAGUCAAACAUGCAAUACACCGUCAGUGGCUCAGUAUGACAGCCGCAGGGCAAUGCAUGUCACGGGCCAUGCUCGCUCACAGCUCCUCACGCUAGACAACACUGUACUAGCGGCCAAAGCUGUAGGAAAAUAAUGCAUUUCGGCGGACUCGAUCAGAAUCCUCUGGUAAUGAUGCUACGCUGCACUAUAUGUUUAUCAGGGUCAUAUGCAUGGACACGUUUUGCUGCUUGAACUUGUAUAACCAUCUAAAUACAAGCCAUAAGCGUCCAUUUUUGGUGGGGGCACUGUUACCGAACCCUGCUAAAAAGACACACAUCUCACACACCCUUAGAUGAACUUUGUGCGAGUAACGGUAGAAAAAUAAAUCAUCAGACAGAAAAUGUUACGUGUGAGAUGGCUGACCCGAUUCAAAAACAAGGUGUGUGUGCAAUAUAUGACAUACAAUUGAGUCGAGAAAACUGUUUACGAUGAGCGAAAAUAACACAGACAAUUAACCAUCACAAGCCAUGUGCAAGAUACGACAUACAGUUCAGUCUGCAUAAUUGUUUGCGAUGAGUGAAAAUAACACAGAGGAUUCUCCAGAACAUGUUGUGCGCGUUAUAGGAAAACGGUUGCUAAGAAGUAAUUGUCUGAGAUUUGAGAUAAUCAUCUCACAUGUGUUCCUUAGUUGAACUGUUUGCGAUGUAACUUGAUCUGUCUACACAAUAAUAUGAUACGUCUACAGAACAACAAACAUAUACUUAUAAAACAUGAUUGCAUAAGUGUACUAAAUAUCCAUUACAUAAGUACUAAACAUCACUUGAUUUCAUGACCAUGUUUAGAGUUGCAAUUCAAUUUGAAUUUUUCUCAAAAAGGAGGCAAAAGUUUUGCCUCAUCGAUUAAUUAAGAAGAAAAGAAUUACCCAGUUAAUUUAUGGAAAAUCAGGCAAAAACCAAUACAAACUGAGCACUCACUAACUACUCACAUGGCAAAAAACAACACAGGCGGCCCCGCCACUCUCCGAAUCCACAACAUACACAAACGACGGCAUUGCUACUACGCCAAGAGACCCCCCGACAAGAACACCUUGACACAAGACAUCAGGCACCGCCUAACCCUCAACGACACCUCAAUCGAAGCGGACGGGCCGAGAGAACGAAGGUCAUCCAUCAAGCAACGAGAGAUGCCUUGCCCAUGGCGCCACACUUUCCUUUGCCCACCUUCUAUAGUUUUCCCUUUAUUGGUGUCCCCGUCAAGAGGCAAGCAAUCGACCUACCCAAACCAGGUCUAGCAACCUCCACACCGGCGAGCAAAUCACAAAGUUCCUUCACGACGAGAGCAUUUGGAUUUGGAGUAGGUGCCAACACACUUGGCUCAAUGGUCAUGUCACUCACGGGCAUCACCUGCUCGAUGGUUGCAGGCGAUGGAAGGGCAGAAACAUCUAAAACUCCGUGCUCCAUGACACCGAGAGGUAGACUGGUUGACGCCUGGCACCCAAUGGACUUAGGCGAUCGAGAGAUUGCAACAUCCAAAUCACCACACUCCUCAGCAUCUAGUAUCUGGCUAGACUCCAGGGGUGAUGCUGGCGAUGAAGCCACAAUCGAGAUCUCAAGGGGGUCUACCUUUAGUUGUUCGACGGACAGAGGCAGAACCAAGCCCCCACACAGCUCCCGAAGCUCGGGCAUGAUCUACAACACCUCAGUCAAAACCACAUCAUUGCCUAGUCCCUCAGAGGAUGACAACGGCAAGCUGGCUCUAGCACGAGGGGAGAAAAAACCAUGAAGCUCAUCUCCCUUCUCGAUCUCGAAGCUAUCAUCAGGCACAACGAAGGGACACAACACAUGAGCAGUCUGCAACACAGGUGGCGCCAGGGAGAGCCCGCCUAGUGCAGCCUCAGCUCGCUCCAUGAAGCUCUCUAGCCGCAACAUCAAAACUUGCAUGGAGUCAACUACAUCACACAAAUGCUGGACCAUCUCCUCAAGUCAAAAGGAAGCCAUGCCAAGGAGCUCAGAGCGCAACAGCUCGGCCUGCCUCUCCAGGGCAGGCUGCACCGGGAUAUCCGCCAAGGAGCCAGUAGGAUCAGCAAUGACCGACGCCCAAGAAUCAUGACCAAACAUCUUCGAGAGGGGCGAGUGAGGCUUCUUUCUGGACCUUGCGAGGAACUGAAGCUUGUUGGUGCCCGACAGGGAGACGGGGCAACAACGACAAAGUAGGGCUUCCCAAAAAGCUGAGAGGACGCCAGGCAUAUUGUGGCACCCACGUGCUCGAUGAUCAUUCUCAAGGCACAGAGAACACCUAAAAGGUUCUCGACACUCCAUUGCAUGAUGUCCAGGAUAAAGGCAUCUACAACAUCUACCAUGAAGCCAAUCAGGGAUAGGAAGGGGAGCCAAUGCAGGACCUAGUCACACUGGACAUUGCACAUGCCGCCACGGCAACACCUUUUGCCAAUCACCGCAUGAAUCCGCAUCACCCGCCAUGCCCGACCGAGCAGCCGAAAGUGAGGAUUUGGUAGCCGACAACGGCAUCCACGGGGCCACUGCAUCGCCAUCCUCAUCUUCUUCAUAGUUGGUAAGGGAGCUCCACGAAAUAGGUGGCGCCGUGUUUAGACCCGGCUCAGUGCCUACAGGAGUUGAGGACGGUGCCACUUCCACAGGAGUCGAGGACGGUGUAGCGGAGCUAGCAGGAGACAUGGACAAUGUGGCAGAGCCAGCCACAGUCAUGGACGGCGUUUCAUGAGCAGCAACCAGGGGUGGGGCGGGGCUUCCACAGGAGUUGAGGACGUCAUAGCAACACUGGCAGGAGUCGGGGACAACGUGCCCACAACAGUAGUUGGGGCUGACGGCGCGGUGCUGGCAGAAGCAGCGUCUGCAGAGGCCAGGGAUCCAAGCCCUCCAUCCACCAGGCCAAGGGCACGAUCUAGAGCAGCGCACCUGCGUCCAGGGUGUCGACACCGGACGGAGGAGGUCGAGGGCGUGGCAGGGAGCACAUGCCCGACCGUGCCAUCAGAGGUGCUGUCACAUCUGGCCUCGGCGGGAGUCCAGCAUGGGACAGACGACCGCCAGCUGCCCAGACGGCCAUGCGGGAGGCAAGAGCAACCUCGACCAGCACGGCGGCAGCAAUUGAAGCUUCCGACGAAUCCAGGGAUGAUGAUGUGGACGUGAGGGCCAUGAGCAGCACCUCGAGAGCCUAGAGGGGAGAAGGAGUGCAACUGAAAGAGGACGCGACCAACAGCCUGGAUCUGGUCUCGAGGCUGAAAUGUCGGUCGGAUGAAGAAGAUCAAUGCUGUGCCGCCGGCCACGGGCACAGAGUCGCGGGAGCCAUGGAAGCCUGUUGUUAUCCUAUUCAAUUUGAAUCUGAAAUAUGUCUUAACUUAUUUGAAUUCAAAUUGAAUUAACUUUGAAAGAUAUUUUAAUUUUAAAUCCAAUUUGAGUUUGAAUUUGAAAAGUUAGGUUCAACUUCAAAGGAAUUCAUGAUUAAGCUUGGUUCAUGAAUUCAUUUGUGAAAUGUUUACUUGAAUAUGCGGUUUGAGUUCUAAGCUCAAAUUAAGUUUAAUUUGAAUUCAAAUUAAGUUUGAAUUCCUUAAAGUCAAACAUGAUCUUAAAUUAAUCCUAAGGUUUCAUUUGAGUUAUUGAAUUAUAACGCAAAAUGAGUUACUCAAUUGAAGUCUAUUGGUUUAGAAAUCAUAACCAAAUUAAGUUUGAAUAUGGUUUGAAUUAAACCUCUCUUGAAUAUUAUUUUAAAUUACACUUUUAAUUAUUUAGAAAAUGAAUUUCAGUGAGCUAAGUUGAAAGUACAACUCAUUAGGAUUAUUCUGUAAGAAGUAUAAUUUAAUUUGGAUUUAUAAUUUGCAAAUUAAACCCUAUAUAAGUUUGAAUUGAAUCUAUUGAAAAUUAUUAAUAAUUUAAAUUUUAUUAUUCUAGAAGAAAGGUUAUCUUCAAGGACAAUUUGCAAAAAGUUUCACUCAAUUUGGACUUAUAGGUAAAAAGUUAUGAAUAUUUGAAGUUAUAGGGGCUUUUCUACAAAUGUUGCAAUGAUUAAAUCAAUUUAAACGAAGUAAAACUAAACCGGGAGCAUGUGGUGUGAUCUGAAUGGUUAGUACCAAUUCAGAACUAGAAUAUUACACAACUAUUGGAUCUAAUUGAUCGUGGACGGUUGAGAUUGAACCAUAUCGGUUCAUUUAAGUGAAUGCUCAUGAGAUGUUGAUCUAAAUAUGGACAGUUAGGAUUAUAUCGAGGCUCACAUCAUGGCGGCUAGGUUGUCGGAAACGCGUCGGAAUCAUCAGGUGCGGCGACGAUGGCUUGGGAGUCGAUGAAUUCGACGAUGCAGAUGGUCCUCGCGAUGGAGGAGUGGUCGGAGGGGUUCAGCUUGACGCGGUGGUGCUCUUGGUAAGGGUGGCUUGCCCUCGGGGAUGGCAGGCGCAAUGGUGGUGACUCGCUUGAGUUGGUCUCGACGGGGGAAUCACUCGGGUGUGGAUAGCGUGCUCAGAGUUGAGCGAUCUUGGGCACGAGAAAGUGGUCAAAAGACUUGUGUGGGUGUGGCGAUGCUAAAAGACAUGGCGGGGGUGCUCGAGUUCAUGUUCACCUCACUGGAGUUGGAGCUGCGGCGGCGGUGAGUUUCGGUUGCCGACGAAAUCGAAACUUGGGUGUGCGUUGGAGGAACAGAUGAUGUGUCGGAGGUGCGCUUGGGCAUGAUGGAGCUGGUUGUGCUAGCGGCUGGUCGAGAGGGGUCCUAACAUUUCUGAAAUUUGGCCAGCGACGGAGGUGGCAGCGGUGGAGAUGUGGGGGUCGAGGCGGCGUAGCCUAGCGGCGAUGCCCGUGGGUCUUUGGGGCAAACAUAUGAGGAGAUCAAAGGGGAUUUAAAGGACAUGGCCACUGGGACAUGUGCGUGUUGGAGGUAGCCUAAAUGGAGAUCAUGGGCGCGUCCUACAUCGGGUGCAUAGGCGCAGGGUUCUCGGAUGGAGGAGGUUGGCGAAGGGGAGCUAGCGUUUGGGGUCCACCAGUUAGUGACAGAGCGAGGCAAGAGAGACAGAGAGUGCGGGCGUGGCACUUUCCGUUGGAUGAUGAUCCGGCGAUGGUGAAUAAACGUCUGCGUAUUAGUUCGUUGGCGGGCCUGCUAGCUGGUUGGGCAGCGCUACGCGCUUGUGCAGUCCUGUGCUGCGUGCUUGCUGGGCCGGCUGGGCUAGGUUGGUCUGGAUAUCCUGACUCUUCUUUCUCUUUUCCGUUGUCUUUCUAAUUUCAUUUUUGUUUUGAAGUUUAACUUGUUUUGAGAAACAAACUUGUUCUAAAUUCCUUUAGGAAUAUUUACAGUAGAUUAGAUAUUUAUUUGAGGCCUUUUGGUAAAUUUUUCCUGCAAAAUAUUUUCAUAGCCUUACUUAAAUAUUCCAUCUUGUUUUAUUUCCAUUUCAAUUUGGAUUUCUUUUGUUAUUUGAGUUUAAUGGAAUUUUUGUUUGUGUUCAUUCUUUAAAUGCUUGGAAUAACAACUGAUUUUGGGGAUUCAUUUCCAUACAUGCCCCUUUAGGGUUUCUUUUUAGUUCCCAAUUUCCAUUUGGGUCUCACUUUCAAACAAACAAACAACCCUAGUCAACAUAAGUAAAAGCAUUCAAACGCAAGUAUUUUUAGAAAAAAAUUAAUCCCAUGUGAAAUUUUAAACAUUCUACAUUUGAGAAAAAUCUAGAAUGUGAUAACAACACUCCCUUCCAAAUAAUUUUUGAUGAGUGUGCAAAUCGGGUGCCAUUUUCUUACAAACCAAACCAAGUUUAGAUUACAAUGUUUUUCACACGUUGCGGGCAACGAACUGAGAGAAGUUGGACCAAACUCCCAAGCCCCAAGAAGGUGCUCCCUUCGUUCCUUUUUACUCCGCGUAUAAGAUUUGUCUUAGGUCAAACGUUAUAAAGUUUGACCAAGUUUAUAAUAAAAGUUAUGAACAUUCACAAUACUAAAUCAAUACCAUUAGAUGUAUCAUGGAAUUAAUUUUGUUGCGGUGUGAAAUAAAUUUUCAUAUUGCAUAUCUUUACUAUUAUAGAUGUUGAUAGUUUUCAAUAACAUUUUGGUCAAGUUUUACGAAGUUUUACUCAAGACAAAUCUUAUAUGUAGAGUAAAAAAAUUGAGGGAGUAAUUAUUGGCUACAAUGUCAACCCCGGCUGUCUCCGCCACUUCCCAUGGUUUGAUUCCUCUAUGUUCUGAAUGUAGAAUCCAUGAUCUGAAUGUUUCUACGAGGUAUUGCCGAAGACCUGUGCACAAUGAGCAUGCUGGAUUCAAAACAUCUGCUCUUUGGGGACUGAUUGAUGGUGUUUCUUUCAACCUUGGUAGGAAGGACACAAUAUCCUGGUGAAAGUGCGUUAUAUCGACUAGAGGGGGGGGGGGGUGAAUAGGCGAUUUUUAUGAAAGUCUUCAAAACGUGGAAGUUAUGAAGACAAACAGUAGAGAUAUGCCUAUUACUAUGCAGCGGAAGUUAGACUACACUAGACAAGCCAUGGUCAAGUAUCAACAGAGUGAAAGCACAGUGACAAAUAGCUGUAGUGUAAUUAGGAUCAGGUAGGAAGAUACUAUGAAGCCAAACAGAUCAUACACUCACGUUGUGAAGACAAAAGAUAGAACAGACAUGCAAUGACUUCACAAUGAGUGAUCAGUAAGUAAAAGGAAGUGAAGAUGAAACCAGUGACUCGUUGAAGACAAUGAUGUGUUGGACCAGUUCCAGUUGCUGUGACAACUGUACGUCUGGUUGGAGCGGCUAGGUAUUUAAACCUUAGGACACACAGUCCCGGACACCCAGUCCUGAACACGCAGCUCAGGACACCAAGUCCUCACCAUAUUCUCCUUGAGCUAAGGUCACAUAGUCCUCGCCCAAUCACUCUGGUAAGUCUUCAAGGUAGACUCCCAAACCUUCACAGACUUCGUUCACUGGCAAUCCACAAUGUCUCUUAGAUGCUCUGAACGCGACGCCUAACCGUCUGGAGAUGCACAGUCCUCAAGUGUAAUAAGUCUUCAAAUCACACAGACAAGAAGACUUAAGUGAUGCCCAAUGUUCUCUGGCUCUGGGUGGUUAGGACUUUUCUCCUCGCUAGGAAUUUUCUCUCAAAGGCUUCGAGGUGGGUUUCUCUCAAACGACAAAAGCCGUGCACUGAAAUCUGAGCAACCAACAGUUUAUGGUUGUAGGGGGUGGGCUAUUUAUAGCCACUUGGCAACCCGACAUGAUUUGUCCGAAAUGACCCUGGGUCACUAAGGAACUGACACGUGUCUCAACGGUCAGAUUUCAAACUCUCAUGGCAACUUUACUUGGGCUACAAGCAAAGCUGACUUGUCCGGCUCUGGACAAGAUUCGCUCUCAUUGUCUUCAGUCGAAGACAUAGGUUUUUGGUUUAGGCAUCACUUCAGUCAUUUUGACUGGUUCUCCUGGAUCCCACUUAACAGUACGGUGGUUCCUAUGACUCAACACAAAAAGAAAAAGAACUACGAAAGAUCUAAGUCUUCGAGCUCCAUAGGCUUCAUAACGUGUCUUCUUUUGUCAUAGUCUUCAAUGUGAAUAUCUUCAUAUACCACCUUUGGCUUCAAUGUCUUCAUACAUUUUUAGGGGUCAUCUCUGGUAGUGAAACCGAAUCAAUGAGGGACUUCUACUUGUGUUAUCCUGCAAUUCUCACAAACACAUUAGUCCCUCAACUAGGUUUGUCGUCAAUACUCCAAAACCAACUAGGGGUGGCACUAGAUGCACUUACAAUCUCCCCCUUUUUGGUGAUUGAUGACAAACUAGUUGAAGUUUUCAACGGGGAAUAUAGUCUGUGAAAUUGUAAAGGAUAAGGAAUUGUCUUCAUAAGUUGCAAGGGCUCCCCCUAAAGAUGUGCAUAUAAGUUAAUUUGCUUUUGGAAUGCAAAUGCACAUGGCAGGUUGUACUUGUGGAGAUCCACUUCAGCUGAUGAUGACAAUGCACUAUGCAUGUGAAAGUAUAUGAAGAUAAUGACAUGCAUAAUGGAAAAUGGACGUCUACAGAAUGAGAUAAGUGCGGAAUUUAUCUUCGCAAAACAGGGUGGCAAACAAGUAGCAGACGACCAUCGAGUUUUAGUGUUACAACUCAAAGAACCAAAUGAAGCAAAAACGAGAGUUGUAAGCACGAAGCAAAAUAUAGAAAAACAUAAAGCACCCGCCCAUAUGGACUCGCUUGAAGACUAUCAACCCAUAUGCUUCUCCCCCUUUUGUCAGCAAGGACCGAAAAGGUUUGAAGACAUAGAGUGUCUAUUCGUUCCCAGAAGCAGCAGGGUCGUUGGAGGUGUUUGGCGGUGCAGAAGAGCUUGGAGGUGCUGAAGCAGGUGGCGGUGAUGUAGCAUCAUCUUCUUCAUCAAUGAUUCUGGCAGUGACUGUGGCAGCAGAUGAAGAAAACUCAGAGUCUUCAAGUGAUGGUGUGUUUUGCAUCACAACCCUUCUAGGAGGUGUGGUGUCAAACUUGAAUCGCUCAGUGAAGCCAUCCUCUUCAAGUUCAGCUUCAGUACACAUCAUUGAUAUCCCUUUCCAUGUACGACGACAGGUUUCAUGAGUGACGAAAGCAUUCUUGGUGGCAAGAUUUCGAAGACGAUUAACAUCCACCAAGAGGCUUUUCAUCUGACGCUUUAGCCAGUCAUGAUGCCUAUCUUGUUUUUGAUGAAGGGCCACAAGAAGCUCUCGGUUAUUGAGAACACGAGCACACUUCUUGGGUCUAGAAGCAGUUGCACUAUCAGUGGCUUCAGUUGAAGCAGGGUGCAGCACACGUGUAGUGCCAGCCAAAGGAUACACCCUGGAGAUGGCUUCAACACCUUCAUCGUUCUGAGUGAAGCUCUGGUGUUCUGCAUUCUGAAGGCUCAAAGGUUGCUUGGCAGGCUCAGGAUAUAUAGCUUCAGCAGAGGUAUCCACAUCUGGCAAGAAGAUCCGAUGGUUGCGGGCUGAGGGCUGAUAUGAGAUCGCAGAGUGAAGCUUGAUCAGUCUCAUUACCCAAGGAGCAUAGUACUUUAAACCAAACAGAUCUGAGCCUGAUGCAGCUAGUUGGCGGAUGAAGAAAUCCUGUGUGUUGAAGCAUUUGCCAUGAAGGAUACAGAAUAUCAGAGUCUUCAUUGCACCCUCGAUCUUGGCAUUUGGAGAGUGCCCUUUAAUAGGCCAGAGAGUCCGCCGGAUAAUGUGAUAGAUGGUUCUGGGCAGGUACUCAAAGUCUUCAAUGAAGAACUCUGUUGGAUAAGGAGCAUCGUGGGGCAAUGGCUUCAUCAUGGAGAGCAUCUGACUCAUAUUUGGUUCAGGCCUCUGGAAUAUGCUCUCAAGAGCUUCAGUGUGUAGUGGACAGCCUUCCUCGAAGAGUUCGCCAGGAGUGGGCAGGCCGGUGAGCUCAAUGAUAUCGAAUGCAUUGGCUUCAUGAUGGACAUUGCCGGUCAUCCACUCCAGGGCCCAAGUCUUCGGAUCUCUGUUGUAUCCUUUGAUGUGGAGGGUGGCAUAGAAUUGCAGGAGAAGCUCUUCAUUCCAGUUCUCUUCAUCAGUUACAAACUGCAGCAGACCCACUUGCUUGAAGCAAUCCAACGCUUCCUCUAAAUAGGGCAGACCAGCAAUGGCUUCAACAUCAAGGCGCUUGUGCGGGAAGAUGCGACCUUGGUUGUAUAGGAUGCAUGAAUAGUAGCUGCGCUGAUGAUAGCUCCAGAACCUAUCUGAUGAAAUCCUUUCCCUUGAAUAGGGGUUCUUGGAGCUGUUGAAGAACGUAUUAUCUGCCUUGAAGCUAUUGAUGUUAAAGGAGCCAGGUGCUGAUGCAGGACCUGGGAACCUCGGCAGCCUUGGGACUGGCUUCUGGACAUGAGGCAUGUGCUCACAUGGUAAUCAAAUUGAGGACCUGCAGCAGACUCAGGAACAGAAGUGUCUGGAUCAGUAGCUUCGCUGUCUUCUGAAGCUUUUGGUGGGGAUGGCUCCACAUUGGCUUCAGUGUUGGUUAUGGCAGCCUCAAUAUUUUCAGCCUCCGCUUGACUAGCUGGAGGGUCAGUCACAAGCACGUUCUCCUGGAGAACUGCUUCUUGGUGGAGCAUUGGAUUGGGCUCUUGUGGUGCUUCUUCUGCGGCUGAUGCAGCCGGAAUGUCUUCAGCAUAGACUUGAGGCCUUGGACCUUUGCUAAUCCUGCAGAAUGCAGACGACGCCUGUGGGGUUGGAGUGGGCUGGGACUCAUUGUCUUCUUCCUCUUGAGGGCGAUCUGCCCAUGAUGCAUCUUGUGCAAUUGGCAUCAGAGGACGACCAAUGCUGAUGAGUUCACUGUGUUCAUACUGAGGAAGGGCUGCAUCAUCUUGUACAUUGUCCUGAUGACCAAUGUCUUCAACAGCGAUGGGGUCGGCUGCUGGUAUGUCUUCAGCUUCAGGAGCCUCUGUGGAAGCAAGCUCAUGAACCGUCAGUUGACGUUCUGCGUUAGGGUGAACCACAGAAAUAGGUUCAACUAUCAAGGGCUCUGUGGCAGCAGCCCGAGAUUUCUUGGUCUUUCUCUUUUUCUUGCUGGGGGCAGUAGGAGAGGCUUCAGAGCUUUUCCUUUUCCUGGCUUCAGCCUCAGCAGUUCUUGUCUUCUUGAGCUCUGAACCUGUUGACCGGCUCUUUGGCUUCGAGCCAGUCGUUGCAGUUGGGAAGACAAUCGGAACUGCUUCCUGCCUUGGUGCCUCUGGUUCAGCUGGAACAGUCUUCUUCUUUUUCUUUGUGGCCAUCUUGGGGUCGAUGCCAGGACGCCCAAGUGCCUUGCGCUUCUCAGCCUCAUUGUAGGCUUGCACACAUCUUUCAGCCAGAGACUUCAUUCGCUCACGUGAACCCUGAGCUUCUGCACGCUUCUUCAGAAAGUUUUCCUUAAGCUCAUGCAACAUGAUCUUGAAGCUCUUUACUUCUUGCACGCUGAGCUUGGCCAUAUUCUUCUUGAACUGAGCCUUUUCAUGAUCAAUUUUCUGCUUCAGUUCAACAAUGCGCUGGGCAAUUGCAAGUUCUGAAGCAAUAGCGCCUUGGAAGGCGACGCUGAGGCCAACGGGCAGCUGCAGAUCUUCGAAGCUGAUGUUUGGUGUGGCAAACCAUUCGUCGAUGAAGUUGUGGAUGAUGGCGACAUCAAAGAGAGGCAAAUUGUUGAAGAUUUCAGCUUCUUCUUUGCUCUUGAUGAGCUGCUCGAGAGCGUCAUCUCCAAGAUCUUCAUCACUUAGCAGAUCAAUGGCUUCGCUGCGCAGAAUGGCAGCAGUUGUGAGCUCUUUGCCGGUGUGUGACUGAGGCAUCUUAGCCUUCUGGGGCUUGAAGACGCGGGAUACGUCUUCAGACUGCACACUGUCUUCAGGAGGUGCAGUUGCCAAUGGCUUCGCCCUUGAGAUUUUUGGUGAAGGGGCCGGCUUUGAAGCUUUUGGCUUCUUCGACUGCUUUGGCUUCGGUACAGCAGGAGCUUCAUCAGACUCAGAGUCAGCUGGAGGGUCAUUCACGGCAGUCCCUUGGACUAAGAUGCGGGUGAUGAGGCCCUCAAGGUUGGCAUACGGACCGAUGAUAUUGGGUUCUGCGUCGCGUGUGCCAUCUUCCCUUGGUGCUGAGGGACCAGGGUUGAAGUCUAACCCAAAUUUCUUCUUGUUGAGCUUCGCUGAUUGUUGGGCAAACUGGAAGUUGCGCUUGAACAGAUUGUCAUCAUGACACCAGAGGAGUGACGACGGAUGUGCAUCAUCAGGCUGUGGUCCACGAACCAUGCAUGGAUAGAAGCUUUGGGCAAUAGCUUCAUCUCUGGUCCUGGGUACAAGGUUCUUGAAUAAGAUGUCUCCCCAUGGUAUUUUGAUGACAUUCUUCUUAGCAUACUCUUGGGUUGUGAAGCGGUACUUGAACCAUUGUUCAGCCCAAUAGCGUCGAAUCCAUUGGAUUCGGGUCUUGCGCUGCCCAUAAUUCUCUUCAGGAUCUGUUUUAUACAUUUCUGCCAGGUCUUCAGGCAGAUCUUUGGAAGUUCCUCCACGUCUCUGUCUGCCCCCCUUCCUUGCUGCUGCUUUUGAAGCCAUAAACUUUAACUUGAAAGGCUUCAAAACUUUCAAAGGCUUCAAAGGCUUUCUUUUGCUGGACCAACAGGAACUGGCUUCAGGAGAAUUUAUGUGAUGCUGUAAGAAUUCUGCAAAUGAAUGCAGACUAUGAGAACCAAAGGAUUCUCCCACGGACAUGUACCUGUGACAGCAUUAAGGUGCAAGGGAAGGGGAAGAGGUCAUAUGCAUUCUCAGAAGAUUUUGAAGAUAAAUCAGUUUAGAAGACAUUGACCUCAUCGUGCGAAGACAUUCACUCAUAGAAAAGAAGUUGGUUCCUGAUUUGUACGAACCCACAGAUCAGUACAAGUGAGGAAUCUAACUACUUCAUGAAGCACAAGUGAAUAUACUAGGCAUGUUAUGAGAUGCAGAUUGAAAGAUCUAACUUGUGUGAAGAGAAACUUCUUAUGGUAGAAAGUGACAUAACCAUGAGAUCAACCGGGGCUGUAAAAAGAAGUUUUAUUUACCACACUUGGAACUGCUAGACGGAGUGGGAGAUGAUGCCGAGCAGUUCAAUCCUCCGUGCCCUAACUUGGCGACGGAAGACACCUACGGCGACGGCGGAGAGGACGAUGUCCGCGAUCGGCGUGAAGACGGUGUCAGAGAGGUUGCGGCAGCGAAGCGCUUCGUCGCCGGCGUCGUCGAGAGCUAGCGGUGGCGCUAGGGUUCAUGCGAGGGUGGAAGAAGGAGAUUAUGACCGCGGUACGUGUGAAUUUAUAGGCGCAGGGGCGGCACUGUGCUGUUACUCAGGUGCCCCUGGCGAUUCGCAUCUGAGUAGUACGUGGCCAUCAUGCGGUAUUUUGGGGGCAGUUCCACAUCCCACGCACGCCUGGAUUGUUGGGUGGUCGUUCCUACUUCUCCGGAUUUCAUGUGGAUAAAUGAGCAUUGAAAACAGACUUAAAUGUUGUCUCUGUGUCUUCUGCUGACAAGGACGCAGAGAAGACAUUCGUGUAAUGCCCUCGAUGCGGCUAUAUCUCCCACGUGUCGAAGCACGACUUAGAGGCAUAACCGCAUUGAAAGCAAUGUCGCAAGUGAGGUAAUCUUCACACAACCCAUGUAAUACAUAAGGGAAAGAGAUACAUAGUUGGCUUACAAUCGCCACUUCACACAAUUACAUGAAUAAAGCAUUACAUCAUCCAGAUACAAUCAAGGUCCGACUACGGAACCAAAAUAAAAGAAGAACUCCACAUGCGACAAAGGUCCCCGAUCGACCCCAACUGGGCUCCACUACUGAUCAACUAGAACGAAACAACACAAAGGGCAAGAUCUUCAUCGAGCUCCUUCUUGAGCUUGGUUGCGUCAUCUGCACGGUAACAUAGGCACCUGCAAACUGGUUUUGGAAGUAUCUGUGAGCCACGGGGACUCAGCAAUCUCGCACCCGCGAGAUCAAGACUAUUUAAGCUUAUAGGGAGGAUGGAGUAAUGAGGUGGAGCUGCAGCAAGCGACUAGCAUAUAUGGUGGCUACAAUCGCAAAAGAGAGCGAGAAGAGAAGCAAGGCACGGUCGAUAAAAGUAUGAUCAAGAAGUGAUCCUAUAGCAACCUACGUCAAACAUAACUCCAACACCGUGUUCACUUCCCGGACUCCGCCGAGAAGAGACCAUCACGGUUACACACGCGGUUGAUGUAUUUUAAUUAAGGUCAACUUCGGGUUUUCUACAACCGGACAUUAACAAAUUCCCAUCUGCCACAUAACCGCGGGCACGGCUUUCGAAAGAUAAUACCCUGCAGGGGUGUCCCAACUUAGCCCAUAACAAGCUCUCACGGUCAAUGAAGGAAUAUACCUCCACCCGAGACACUCCGAUCAGACUCGGUAUCCCGGUACAACAAGACAUUUCGACAGGGUAAAACUAAACCAGCAACACCGCCCAAAUGUACCGACAAAUCCCGAUAGGAGCUGCACAUAUCUCUUUCUCAGGGCACACUCAGAUGAGACUAGCUACGAGUAAAACCAACCCUCAAGUUUCCCCGAGGUGGCCCCGCAGGCAGCUCAGUUCGGACCAACACUCAGAGGAGCACUGGCCUNNNNNNNNNNNNNNNNNNNNNNNNNNNNNNNNNNNNNNNNNNNNNNNNNNNNNNNNNNNNNNNNNNNNNNNNNNNNNNNNNNNNNNNNNNNNNNNNNNNNNNNNNNNNNNNNNNNNNNNNNNNNNNNNNNNNNNNNNNNNNNNNNNNNNNNNNNNNNNNNNNNNNNNNNNNNNNNNNNNNNNNNNNNNNNNNNNNNNNNNNNNNNNNNNNNNNNNNNNNNNNNNNNNNNNNNNNNNNNNNNNNNNNNNNNNNNNNNNNNNNNNNNNNNNNNNNNNNNNNNNNNNNNNNNNNNNNNNNNNNNNNNNNNNNNNNNNNNNNNNNNNNNNNNNNNNNNNNNNNNNNNNNNNNNNNNNNNNNUGCUGGAAGAGCUUUACUUAAGGCGAACUGUCAAGGGGUUCCCAUUAUAGCCCAACCAUGUAAGGAACGCAAAAUCCGGGAACAUAACACCGAUAUGACGGAAACUAGGGCGGCAAGAGUGGAACAAAACACCAGGCAUAAGGCCGAGCCUUCCACCCUUUACCAAGUAUAUAGAUGCAUUAAUUAAGUAAGAUAUAUUGUGAUAUCCCAACAAGUAAACAUGUUCCAACAAGGAACAACAUCUCCAUGUUCCAACAAGGAACAAACUUCAAUCUUCACUUGCAACUAACAAUGCUAUAAGAGGGGCUGAGCAAAGCGGUAACAUAGCCAAUCAACGGUUUGCUAGGACAUGGUGGGUUAGAGGUUUGACAUGGCAAUUUGGGAGGCUGACAAGCAAAUGGUAGGCAUCGUAGCAUUGGCAUAGCAAAAGAGCGAGCAAACUAGCAUAGCAAAGAUAGUAGUGAUUUCGAGGGUAUGAUCAUCUUGCCUGAAAUCCCGCAAGGAAGAAGAACGCGUCCAUGAAGAAGACAAACGGACGUAGUCGAACGAAUCCUCACAAUUCCGGAACGAAACCGAAGCUAACGAGAGAAGCAACCCGGAAAGAAACAAACAACAUAGUAAACAACCAUCACAUAAACAUGGCAUGAUGCGCAAACAAGUAUGAUGCAUGUCCGGUUUAAUGAGGCAUGGCAUGGCAAAGUGCAACAAACAAUACUACAAGUUAAGUGGAGCUCAAUAUGCAACGAGGUGCAUGUUGACGGAACACCACAUCAAUUAUUUAGUUAUCUCUCGUUUAAGCUACCCAACAAUAUUAACGGUUGUUAAACAUGGCAAGAGGUGGAGCAAAUGAAAACUACCUAUCUAGGCAAGUUUAAAUGAGGCCGGAACAACAAACAACAAUUCCGGUAAAUCCCCACAUGUCUUUUAGUAGUUUAAUGCAAACAUAAUUUUUAAACAUUUUAAAUGUUGUUAUCAUGAUGCGGAUGACAUAUGCAAGUUUUAUGCAAUUUUUAUGAAAAUGUUGACAUAGAGCAUGAUAAGGAGCAUUUGGUCACCAUGGCGGAACGAAAAGGGUGCCACGGCGGCGAAACAAAAAAUGGUGCCACGACAACAUAUCCGAAAAUGAUGCCACGGCAACAUAUCGGUUCCGAUAGCUCACGGAGAUACCGGUGCAAAAGGAGGCGUGCGGAUGCGUGCAUGGAUGGUGGGGUGAUCCCGGAUUCCGGGUGUCCCACAUAAUGGUGGCAUGGCUUACGGCGAACGUGCAAGGAACAAUUCGGACAUGGUGCAAACACGGGCAUCUCAUACAACGUGCAUUCGGUCCACAGCGGUCGUUUUGGUGGUUAUACCUUCGAAGCGAGCAAUCGGGACGGUUCUCGUUCGGCGAAGGAAGUAGUCGUUCACGGCCGUAGUGAAGGUAGACGUUCACGUGGCGACGUAGAGGAAGUAGUUGUACACGGCGACGGUAGUAGAAGUAGUGGUACUUGCGGUCUCGGCGACGGUAGUCGUUCACGUUUCGUAGUCGAUGUAGUUGAACUUGACGAAACUCUCAGCAAAAGUAGUGGUGCCUAUCGUAGUGGAACUUGGCGCAUCCAACAUCUUCGGGCGUAGAUGUACUUGCAAAAACCGAGAUGGUCUUGACGAUCCAGCGAGACGACGUGGUUCGGGGCGGUCUUGGUCUUGGCGUCCGUGCGGUAGCCGCGAGCUCAUGGCCUACAGCAGCAGCAAGGGGCGGAACGGGUCGGAGACGCCGUGCGCUGAUGGGGAGGCGUGAAGGAGGCAGGGUGCUGGCGAAGGAGGGAGCAGGGGCGAUGCUUGGGGCUCGGGGUGGCGCUCGGCAAAAGGAGCAGCUCCGGCGAUGGCUGCGGGGCGACAUGGACGAAGUGGCCGCGGGGCUCGGUGCAGAUGAGGAAGGAGGGCGGCAGCGCUCCUGGUCGCAGCGACCGGAGGGGCGACGGGGCAUGGCGCUGCGUGGGAACGAGGGGAGAAGCCGGCUGAUGCGGAGGAGGAGGCACGACCGCAGGUGAGGGAGGAGGUUGGGCACGCGGCGCAUGGUGGUGGAGGCGAGAUCCGGGCGCGGGGUUCUGUUCCCGGCGCCACAAUGGAGGGGGGCGCACCGGCGAGGAGAGGACGGCGACUUGACGCGGCUCCGGCGACGGGGCGUGAUGCAGGGGACUCGGGAAGGGGGUUGAAGAAGACGACGCGAGGCAGGGGCGUCGGAGUUGGACUCCAGUUACGGCGCAGGAGGCCCGACGCGGCGCUCGGAGGAGAGGGGCGGCACGCGGCCAUGGCAGGGAGGCGAUGGUUGCGGGUGCACGAGGAGAAGGGAGGAAGAGCAUCUCAGGCGCUCGGGGUCGAGCUCGCACGCGAGGCCCUCCGGCUCGAGGAGCUGGGGAAUCGGGCGCGGGGACUCCUCCCUGGUGUGUUGCGUGUGUGGUGACGGCGCGAGGGAGGAGACGAGGGAGAGGGAGAGAUCGAGAGGAGGGAGGCGAGAGGAUCGGGAACGGGCGCAGGAGAGGGCGAUGGGGUCGAGCGCGUCUUCUGGCGCGGGCGAUGCGGGUGCCUGGCGGCGCUCCAAGGGAGCGAUGAGAUGCGGGCUAGGGUUAGGAGGGGGUUAGGUGGGCUGGACUGCGGAUGGGCCUAAGAGGCCGGCUAGGUUAUAGGCUGCUGGGCUUCUUCUCCCUCUCUUAUAUUUUCUGAAAAUAGAAAAUAAAUCAAGGAAGAAAAGGAGAAGAAAGGAAGGUAGAAAUAGAAUUUUGGGCAAGGGGAUUAUUUUCCCGGACUCGCAAAAAUAUGCUCGUUCCAAGAAAAAUAGAAAGGGGCAUGAUUGAAAGAUUUAAAUUCAAACUCAUUUGAAAUUCAAAUGGGUUUGAACUAGGACUUGAUGAAAGGAAGGUCCAAAAAUGUUCGGAUUUUUGGUGGAGCUCCGGAAAAUGAUGAAAUAAUUAUUGGCAAGGUUGGAGACCAAACUUGAAGCAGAAAAGGAACGAAAUUAUUUUGCAAGUGUGUUUUGGUGAUUUCCGAAAUAAAGAAAUAUUUAAUAUAGCUCCCUAAUAUUGGAGGAUAUGUUAUAAAGAGAAGUCACCAUGUGAGUUCCCUCGGUUUAAAUAGAUCAAAAGAUCUAUGCAAUUUAUUUAGAAGAGUUUAAAAAAAAUAAAUGACAUGAUGGCAUGAUGCAAUGCAAAUGAUGCAACAAACAAAACAAAUCACACGACGAAACUCGGAGUCACUGGAAGUCUUCUGGAGCGUCGGUCUCGGGGCGUUACAACACUCCACCACUAUGAGAGGAUCUCGUCCCGAGAUCUAGAAUGGCACCGGAGGGAAAACAGAAGAGAAAGAGAAGAGGUAAAACUAAGUUGCUUCUUUGACAAACGAGUGAAACCACGAACCUUGAGAGGUUGAGCAAUUUAAAAGAAAGAGCACAACUGAGAAGAACGAGAUUGCAAACUAUCCGUUAAAAAAAAGAACAAGGAACAUUACGAGAACUUGAAGGUUGCAAAGACAUGAAUCAAGAGUUUAAUGGACAAGAUAGAAUUCGAAACCACUCCGGUUAAAACAAGAUGAGAGGGGAAGAAUUCGGGCAGUACUCCGGUUGAACAUGGAAGGAAUAGAACAUGAACUUGAGAAGAUGGGAUGUUACUUGAUGAAAUCAACAACACACUGCCUCCGGAACUAUUGAAAGAAUGGCACAAUGGGUAAGAAGGAUUUCAGACAGCUCUCCAGUUGAGGAAGGAGGGAAAACUUGAUAAGAUUAGAGAACUCGAAUGAAAACACGACACUCCGGUUAAAUGGAUAAGCAAGAAAAGAACACGAUCCUCACGAAUCGAGAUGGUGAGUGAAGAGAGCAACAUCACAAUGCCUCCGAAACAAAAGAAUAGAAGAUAGAUAAUUGAAAUAGAAGAAUGGAGAAGAAAAUGCCAACAUCUGCCACCAACGGAAACAAAUGAUUGGAUUGAUAUCAACAAGGAGACGAGAAACUUAUUUCACCGGAAGGACAAAUGAAGAACUUGGGUCAUUUAUAAGCACCAUAAAUAGCAACAAUCCUUAGGGAAAGCUUUAGGUGAAAUAUAGCCCAAGAUAACUCCAAUGAAGAGAUUGAUGGAUUUAAAUAUCUCAUUCUUGACAACAUGAAUAACCAAGGGAAAUUGUCAAGAGUGGCAUAACACCAUCUCAAAAGAUAAGGUAGAAAAAAUUGCACUUUGGAAUGCACGAUAAAGAAUGCUUGAAUUCCUCAAAACAAAACAUGUGUUGAGCACCAUGGUUAUUUUGAAGUAUGGCUUGACGGAUCUUAACUUCGAGAGAAAUCUUGAAGAACAAUUGAAGAAUGAAAAGAAUCCUUGACGAACCACCACUCCGGUAAUAAACGGAUGAUAAAAAGAAAGAGAAGUUGAAAACACAAGGUGAAGCCUUGCGAUGAUUUAGAUGGAGCUUCGCGACGAGAUAAUGCGGAAAACUUAGAACUCUGGAAGAAAGAUGAACAACAAGAAGCCAAGAAUUUAUUACUCCUGAACAAACUCCGAAGGAAAGGAUUAAUCACUUGGAUGAAACCAGAAUAAGAAUUAUGUUAUGCGUAUCCUUCACCAAUUUAAAUUGAUGACAAGCAACGGAUUUGGCAUACUACUUAUUCUUGUAGAAAGGAUUAAGAGAGAUAUAUCAUAAACUUCCAAAAAGUCUUCAACGAUCCACAGGUAGGAUUCAGAAAGAACGAAUUAAUUGAUACGAUAACAAAAGAAGAGGAAUGUUGAAAGAACCACCGUAAGAAUUGAAAAUGAAAGUAGCAAAGGCACAAUUCACCGGGAAUAAUUGAAAAAAUGAAUGAAGAUACUUGAGGGGAUUUAGAUACCUGAGAACGAAGAGAUCAGGAACUGAUUAGAGGAUAUUUGAACGAUUCACCGGUAAGAUUUGGAGAACGAUAGGUACACGCUGAGAAUUAAGAAUUAUGACAUGAUGGCCUUCGGAGGAAAGAAAUUGAAACAACUCAUGAAAUGCUCCGGAUGGGUGAAAAAAAUUCUCAAAAUCGAAAACAAUUAUGAGAGGAUGGCAACAAGCUAGCACCAUGAAUCUUGAAGAGAAUAGAGCAAGAUUAAAGAGAAACUCUUCUUCGGUCUUCAAAUGAUGAUAAUGACAACGAGAAACACCACCAAGAAUUAUUGAGGCACACCGGAAGAAUCAAAAGCGAAGAGGUUGAGCCAACUAUGAAAAGAAUUUGAAAGAUCUUAGAGAAAAGCAUUUGACUGAUGAUAACUCAUUCUUACGUCAAACUUGGAGAAGAAUUUAGGAUAGCUCUGGGAAAAUAGAAGAGUCAGGUAAGAUCCUGGGAAAAGACCUGUGGGUUAGGGCCCACUCAAAAGAACACCGUUGAACAAUUGCUUGAAAGGGAGGUUGCACCGGUUGAAUUAAAUGGCUUGAAUGAGGUAACAGCCUCGAAAUAGUUAGAAUUGAUGCGGAGUGGAAACACGAAUCUUCAGAGAUAUCUUCAGCACUCCGGAAUAACAAAUAGCGAGGAGUAGAAUGAUAAUGAGGUGCACCGGUAUGAGAAGACAUAGAAAUGAGGAAAAAGGUAUGACCAACAAAACUUGACUUGAAUCCACCGGAGAAGAGAAAGGAAUGAGGAAUGACGAACUAGUAGAACAUCUUCUUGAGAACCACCGGGUAAGAACAUUGACGGAAAAUAAAAGGAUACUUGGUAAAGAAAUCUUAGUCCUUGAGGAAAAAGGGUGGGUGGGCGGGAAAAAACAAAGGCAACUUGGAGACGGAUGAAACAAACACCGUUGAGAAGAAAUGAUAAUUGGUCUUGCUGAUGUUGAAGUGAUCGGAUCCACUUGAAGAGAAACACGCCGGUUGAAAAGGAUUGACAUGACAAUCUCGAUUGUUGAGAAGGAUUGGUAUUCACAUCGGAGUAUGAGAACACCAUUUCGGAAAGGUAUGGAAUCAACACUUGACAUUGAAGCAACUCGAAUACCACAACUCAAAACAAAAACAAAGGACUGGCUUGCAGAAUAAGCCGGAACAAACAUAUGAUAGAGGUUUCGUCCGAAGUUUUCGUGGUGGGGCCUACACGGGCUCGAUCGUACAACACCAUCAUGUACAAGGCAGUGCACAUGACAUACGAAGCGUCCCCGAGUCGGCAUAGCCAAGGACUCUUUAAGACACAACGAGACCACUGUAAAAUUCAACCGUGAAUAGGCGGACCACUAGACGUCGAACCCCAAUUUCAUAUCAUACAUCUGUCGGAAAGAUAUCCUAAGAGCUACUUGAUUUCCCACCUAUGAAACUCCUGAAAUUUUCCGGUUAUGCAAUCAGGUGUUGGGGAUACAGGGGAAGCAUAAUAUCUCACCCAAAACUAGCAAAUCCUACAUCUAGCUGUAUCCAUCCUUCAACACAUAACCAAGAAACCUUCGGAAAUUGUCUACCUCAACCUUCGAAAAGCAUCCGUUAUACAAGUUAUGGCAAUACUCCCGUACUCACCUCAGUACUGGGUUAUCGGGGUUAUCUCACCAACGAACUGCAUAAAAGAGAUUUUCGAUGUCGGCGUACUAAACUCAGGUAUUCCAGAACUGCAACGAUAAAAUUAUGACGACAACACCUCAGAGCUCAACUCCCCGGGACACUUCCACUAAACCCCUGACAGGAGGCACCAAGACAAUGUUCUCAUCAUAAAACCAUCGGAACGAUUCCAAGAUACCCGCGUGAUCCUAAAAUUUUUUUUUAGUGAAAUUUGAGAAGAGAAGAGUCAAAACUCUACGUCAGGAUGCCUUACCAAAGCGAUGAAGAGACUGGGGAGUAAAAAGAAUUCCUAACUCUCCGAUAUAUAUAAUCCUAAAUGACUCAAAACAUUUUUCUAGACACAACUCGGCCGCUAAAAACGAUCAAGCAGUGGGGCCCCUAAGGUCGGGGAAGGCUCUGAUUACCAACUUGUAACGCCCUCGAUGUGGCUAUAUCUCCCACGUGUCGAAGCACGACUUAGAGGCAUAACCGCAUUGAAAGCAAUGUCGCAAGUGAGGUAAUCUUCACACAACCCAUGUAAUACAUAAGGGAAAGAGAUACAUAGUUGGCUUACAAUCGCCACUUCACACAAUUACAUGAAUAAAGCAUUACAUCAUCCAGAUACAAUCAAGGUCCGACUACGUAACCAAAAUAAAAGAAGAACUCCACAUGCGACAAAGGUCCCCGAUCGACCCCAACUGGGCUCCACUACUGAUCAACUAGAACGAAACAACACAAAGGGCAAGAUCUUCAUCGAGCUCCUUCUUGAGCUUGGUUGCGUCAUCUGCACGGUAACAUAGGCACCUGCAAACUGGUUUUGGAAGUAUCUGUGAGCCACGGGGACUCAGCAAUCUCACACCCGCAAGAUCAAGACUAUUUAAGCUUAUAGGGAGGAUGGAGUAAUGAGGUGGAGCUGCAGCAAGCGACUAGCAUAUAUGGUGGCUACAAUCACAAAAGAGAGCGAGAAGAGAAGCAAGGCACGGUCGAUAAAAGUAUGAUCAAGAAGUGAUCCUAUAGCAACCUACGUCAAACAUAACUCCAACACCGUGUUCACUUCCCGGACUCCGUCGAGAAGAGACCAUCACGGUUACACACGCGGUUGAUGUAUUUUAAUUAAGGUCAACUUCGGGUUUUCUACAACCGGACAUUAACAAAUUCCCAUCUGCCACAUAACCGCGGGCACGGCUUUCGAAAGAUAAUACCCUGCAGGGGUGUCCCAACUUAGCCCAUAACAAGCUCUCACGGUCAACGAAGGAAUAGACCUCCACCCGAGACACUCCGAUCAGACUCGGUAUCCCGGUACAACAAGACAUUUCGACAGGGUAAAACUAAACCAGCAACACCGCCCGAAUGUGCCGACAAAUUCCGAUAGGAGCUGCACAUAUCUCUUUCUCAGGGCACACUCAGAUGAGACUAGCUACGAGUAAAACCAACCCUCAAGUUUCCCCGAGGUGGCCCCGCAGGCAGCUCAGUUCGGACCAACACUCAGAGGAGCACUGGCCCGGGGNNNNNNNNNNNNNNNNNNNNNNNNNNNNNNNNNNNNNNNNNNNNNNNNNNNNNNNNNNNNNNNNNNNNNNNNNNNNNNNNNNNNNNNNNNNNNNNNNNNNNNNNNNNNNNNNNNNNNNNNNNNNNNNNNNNNNNNNNNNNNNNNNNNNNNNNNNNNNNNNNNNNNNNNNNNNNNNNNNNNNNNNNNNNNNNNNNNNNNNNNNNNNNNNNNNNNNNNNNNNNNNNNNNNNNNNNNNNNNNNNNNNNNNNNNNNNNNNNNNNNNNNNNNNNNNNNNNNNNNNNNNNNNNNNNNNNNNNNNNNNNNNNNNNNNNNNNNNNNNNNNNNNNNNNNNNNNNNNNNNNNNNNNNNNNNNNNNNNNNNNNNNNNNNNNNNNNNNNNNNNNNNNNNNNNNNNNNNNNNNNNNNNNNNNNNNNNNNNNNNNNNNNNNNNNNNNNNNNNNNNNNNNNNNNNNNNNNNNNNNNNNNNNNNNNNNNNNNNNNNNNNNNNNNNNNNNNNNNNNNNNNNNNNNNNNNNNNNNNNNNNNNNNNNNNNNNNNNNNNNNNNNNNNNNNNNNNNNNNNNNNNNNNNNNNNNNNNNNNNNNNNNNNNNNNNNNNNNNNNNNNNNNNNNNNNNNNNNNNNNNNNNNNNNNNNNNNNNNNNNNNNNNNNNNNNNNNNNNNNNNNNNNNNNNNNNNNNNNNNNNNNNNNNNNNNNNNNNNNNNUGCAUUAAUUAAGUAAGAUAUAUUGUGAUAUCCCAACAAGUAAACAUGUUCCAACAAGGAACAACAUCUCCAUGUUCCAACAAGGAACAAACUUCAAUCUUCACCUGCAACUAACAACGCUAUAAGAGGGGCUGAGCAAAGCGGUAACAUAGCCAAUCAACGGUUUGCUAGGACAUGGUGGGUUAGAGGUUUGACAUGGCAAUUUGGGAGGCUGACAAGCAAAUGGUAGGCAUCGUAGCAUUGGCAUAGCAAAAGAGCGAGCAAACUAGCAUAGCAAAGAUAGUAGUGAUUUCGAGGGUAUGAUCAUCUUGCCUGAAAUCCCGCAAGGAAGAAGAACGCGUCCAUGAAGAAGACAAACGGACGUAGUCGAACGAAUCCUCACAAUUCCGGAACGAAACCGAAGCUAACGAGAGAAGCAACCCGGAAAGAAACAAACAACAUAGUAAACAACCAUCACAUAAACAUAGCAUGAUGCGCAAACAAGUAUGAUGCAUGUCCGGUUUAAUGAGGCAUGGCAUGGCAAAGUGCAACAAACAAUACUACAAGUUAAGUGGAGCUCAAUAUGCAACGAGGUGCAUGUUGACGGAACACCACAUCAAUUAUUUAGUUAUCUCUCGUUUAAGCUACCCAACAAUAUUAACUGUUGUUAAACAUGGCAAGAGGUGGAGCAAAUGAAAACUACCUAUCUAGGCAAGUUUAAAUGAGGCCGGAACAACAAACAACAAUUCCGGUAAAUCCCCACAUGUCUUUUAGUAGUUUAAUGCAAACAUAAUUUUUAAACAUUUUAAAUGUUGUUAUCAUGAUGCGGAUGACAUAUGCAAGUUUUAUGCAAUUUUUAUGAAAAUGUUGACAUAGAGCAUGAUAAGGAGCAUUUGGUCACCAUGGCGGAACGAAAAGGGUGCCACGGCGGCGAAACAAAAAAUGGUGCCACGGCAACAUAUCCGAAAAUGAUGCCACGACAACAUAUCGGUUCCGGUAGCUCACGGAGAUACCGGUGCAAAAGGAGGCGUGCGGAUGCGUGCAUGGAUGGUGGGGUGAUCCCGGAUUCCGGGUGUCCCACAUAAUGGUGGCAUGGCUUACGGCGAACGUGCAAGGAACAAUUCGGACAUGGUGCAAACACGGGCAUCUCAUACAACGUGCAUUCGGUCCACGGCGGUCGUUUCGGUGGUUAUACCUUCGAAGCGAGCAAUCGGGACGGUUCUCGUUCGGCGAAGGAAGUAGUCGUUCACGGCCGUAGUGGAGGUAGACGUUCACGUGGCGACGUAGAGGAAGUAGUUGUACACGGCGACGGUAGUAGAAGUAGUGGUACUUGCGGUCUCGGCGACGGUAGUCGUUCACGUUUCGUAGUCGAUGUAGUUGAACUUGACGAAACUCUCAGCAACAGUAGUGGUGCCUAACGUAGUGGAACUUGGCGCAUCCAACAUCUUCGAGCGUAGAGGUACUUGCAAAAACCGAGAUGGUCUUGACGAUCCAGCGAGACGACGUGGUUCAGGGCGGUCUCGGUCUUGGCGUCCGUGCGGUAGCCGCGAGCUCAUGGCCUACAGCAGCAGCAAGGGGCGGAACGGGUCGGAGACGCCGUGCGCUGAUGGGGAGGCAUGAAGGAGGCAGGGUGCUGGCGAAGGAGGGAGCAGGGGCGAUGCUUGGGGCUCGGGGUGGCGCUCGGCAAAAGGAGCAGCUCCGGCGAUGGCUGCGGGGCGACAUGGACGAAGUGGCCGCGGGGCUCGGUGCAGAUGAGGAAGGAGGGCGGCAGCGCUCCUGGUCGCAGCGACCGGAGGGGCGACGGGGCAUGGCGCUGCGUGGGAACGAGGGGAGAAGCCGGCUGAUGCGGAGGAGGAGGCACGGCCGCAGGUGAGGGAGGAGGUUGGGCACGCGGCGCAUGGUGGUGGAGGCGAGAUCCGGGCGCGGGGUUCCGUUCCCGGCGCCGGAAUGGAGGGGGGCGCACCGGCGAGGAGAGGACGGCGGCUUGACGCGGCUCUGGCGACGGGGCGUGAUGCAGGGGACUCGGGCAGGGGGUUGAAGAAGACGACGCGAGGCAGGGGCGUCGGAGUUGGACUCCAGUUACGGCGCAGGAGGCCCAACGCGGCGCUCGGAGGAGAGGGGCGGCACGCGGCCAUGGCAGGGAGGCGAUGGUUGCGGGUGCACGAGGAGAAGGGAGGAAGAGCAUCUCAGGCGCUCGGGGUCGAGCUCGCACGCGAGGCCCUCCGGCUCGAGGAGCUGGGGAAUCGGGCGCGGGGACUCCUCCCUGGUGUGUUGCGUGUGUGGUGACGGCGCGAGGGAGGAGACGAGGGAGAGGGAGAGAUCAAGAGGAGGGAGGCGAGAGGAUCGGGAACGGGCGCAGGAGAGGGCGAUGGGGUCGAGCGCGUCCUCUGGCGCGGGCGAUGCGGGUGCCUGGCGGCGCUCCAAGGGAGAGAGAGGGAGAGAUGAGAUGCGGGCUAGGGUUAGGAGGGGGUUAGGUGGGCUGGACUGCGGAUGGGCCUAAGAGGCCGGCUAGGUUACAGGCUGCUGGGCUUCUUCUCCCUCUCUUAUAUUUUCUGAAAAUAGAAAAUAAAUCAAGGAAGAAAAGGAGAAGAAAGGAAGGUAGAAAUAGAAUUUUGGGCAAGGGGAUUAUUUUCCCGGACUCGCAAAAAUAUGCUCGUUCCAAGAAAAAUAGAAAGGGGCAUGAUUGAAAGAUUUAAAUUCAAACUCAUUUGAAAUUCAAAUGGGUUUGAACUAGGACUUGAUGAAAGGAAGGUCCAAAAAUGUUCGGAUUUUUGGUGGAGCUCCGGAAAAUGAUGAAAUAAUUAUUGGCAAGGUUGGAGACCAAACUUGAAGCAGAAAAGGAACGAAAUUAUUUUGCAUGUGUGUUUUGGUGAUUUCCGAAAUAAAGAAAUAUUUAAUAUAGCUCCCUAAUAUUGGAGGAUAUGUUAUAAAGAGAAGUCACCAUGUGAGUUCCCUCGGUUUAAAUAGAUCAAAAAAUCUAUGCAAUUUAUUUAGAAGAGUUUUAAAAAAAAUGACAUGAUGGCAUGAUGCAAUGCAAAUGAUGCAACAAACAAAACAAAUCACACGACGAAACUCGGAGUCGCUGGAAGUCUUCUGGAGCGUCGGUCUCGGGGCGUUACAAUUCGACAGUUUCAAUAGAAUGCAUAUGACUUGGAGAGAUAUAAUUGUGAGAUAGAGAGCAUAGAGAGGUUAGGGUCCGAUCACAUUCACUUAGUUCAAAAGAUUCAACAAGAAGACAUAGCUAUAAGUGAAUGCUGUAGAGGACAAAACACUAGUAUAUAUAUAUAUAUAUAUAUAUAUAUAUAUAUAUAUAUAAUCAACAUAGUGAAGAUAAUCAUGAAGACAUGUUGAGUUGAAGCCAAACCAAAUGUGAAGACAUUGCAAGGUAACGCCAUGAGUGAAAUACUUCAAAAUAGAACGUUUGGUGGUGGCGUUACCCACCGUAUAGGAAGUAUUAGACCCAGACACGGCGCACAAUUAUCGUGGCGCUCCGAAGUCAAAUUCCACAUUAAUGUAUUCAGACUUAGAAUGUAUGUCUUCAUUGAUUGAAGAUAUACUUCACUUCGUGUGUUGCACAUCUAAGUCAUCAAUUUGCAUAAGGGUUAGGAUGUGUGCCUGAUCACAGGACAUUUGAGGAUUCCAGGAUAUUUAGCUCACACCGUAACUUGCAAAACCUCUUCUCAUCCGAAGGCUUGGUGAAGAUAUCUGCCAAUUGCUCUUCAGUGUUGACGUGUAUGAUAUCAAUGUCUUCCUUCACAACAUGAUCUCUGAGAAAGUGAUGACGAAUUUCAAUGUGCUUUGUCUUCGAGUGCUGAACUAGGUUGUUGGCAAUCUUGAUGGCGCUUUCAUUGUCGCAGUAAAGUGGCACUUGCUUCAGAUGAAUGCCAUAGUCCUUGAGUGUUUGCUUCAUCCACAGAAGCUGAGCGCAGCAAGAUCCAGCAGCAAUGUAUUCAGAUUCAGCAGUGGAGAGAGAUACACAGUUCUGCUUCUUUGAAGACCAACAUACUAGUGAUCGUCCCAGAAAGUGACAUGUGCCUGAUGUAGACUUGCGAUCAACUUUGUCACCAGCAUAAUCAACAUCCGAGAAUCCAACCAAAUCAAACUCUGAGCCCUUUGGAUACCAUAAUCCUAGAGUUGGGGUGUGAGCCAAAUAUCGAAGAAUUCGCUUCACAGCUAAGUGAUGCGACUCCUUUGGUGCCGCUUGAAAUCGAGCACACAUGCAAACACUAAGCAUAAUAUCUGGCCUAGAUGCACAUAGAUAAAGUAAAGAACCAAUCAUGGAGCGGUAUACCUUUUGAUCGAACUCUUUACCAUCGUCGUCAGGACCCAGAUGAUGUUUGGCUGGCAUUGGUGUUGUGAAGCCUUUGCAGUCUUGCAUACCGAACUUCUUCAGGCAAUCUUUGAGAUACUUCUCUUGAGAUAUGAAGAUGCCAUUGCGUUGUUGUCGUAUUUGAGGACCAAGGAAGAACUUCAGCUCCCCCACCAUGGACAUCUGAUAUUGCUCUUGCAUCAUAUAUCCAAACUCUUCACUGUACUUCUGACUGGUGCAGCCGAAGAUAAUGUCAUCCACAUAUAUUUGACACACAAACAGUUCACCAUCAUAUGUCUUCGUGAAAAGAGUGGGAUCUAGGGAACCAGGUAUGAAGCCUUUGCUCUUCAGGAAAUAUUUGAGUGUGUCAUACCAGGCCCUAGGGGCUUGUUUGAGGCCAUACAGUUCCUUGUUGAGCUUGUAUACCAUGUCAGGAUGUUUUGGAUUUUCAAAACCAGGCGGUUGUGCAACAUACACUUCUUCAAUCUUGCCAUUGAUAAAGGCACUCUUCACAUCCAUUUGAUAUAGAAGAAUGUUAUGAUGAUUUGCAUAGGCCAGCAGUAUGCGUAUGGCUUCAAGCCUAGCCAUAGGAGCAAAUGUUUCAUCGAAGUCAAUGCCUUCCACUUGAGUAUAUCCUUGAGCAACGAGACGAGCUUUGUUUCUGACAACUUGACCAUGCUCAUCUUGCUUGUUGCGGUAUAUCCAUUUGGUGCCUAUUAUGUUGUGCUUCCGUGGAUCAUGACGCUUAACCAGUUCCCAUACAUUAUUCAGCUCAAACUAUUGAAGCUCUUCUUGCAUAGCUUGAAUCCAUUCAGGUUCCAUGAAGGCUUCUUCAACUUUCUUGGGUUCUGAUAUUGAGACGAAUGCGAAGUGCCCACAGAAAUUUGCUAGCUGAGUUGCCCUUGAACGAGUGAGUGGACUAGGUGCAUUGAUGCUAUCAAUUAUUCUUUCAAUCUGCACUUCAUUGGCAACGCGAGGAUGUACUAGGUGAAGACUUUGCCCUUGCUGAUCUGUGUUGUUGUUGGGAGGAAUGUCUUCAGGAUGAGCAUUGUCUUCAUGUUGAUCAGGUGCUGAGAUGAUAAGUUCUUCUUCAGGAUGAGCUUUAGAAGGUAUAAUCUCUCCAGUUCCCAUUAGCUUGAUUGAUUCACUGGAAGGAACUUCAUCUAGCACACUUGGCAGCUGCUCUCUUUGUGAUCCGUUGGUCUCAUCGAACCGCACAUCCACUGUUUCAACCACUUUGUAAUGAAAGAGAUUGAAGACUCUAUAGGAGUGUGAAUCCUUUCCAUAUCCAAGCAUAAAACCCUCAUGUGCUUUUGGUGCAAAUUUUGAGGUGUGAUGUGGGUCCUUGAUCCAGCACCUUGCGCCAAAUACUCUGAAGUAACUGACAUUUGGCUUUUUGCCAGUAAGGAGCUCAUAAGAUGUCUUGUUCAGAAGCUUGUGAAGAUAAACACGAUUGAUUGUAUGGCAUGCAGUGUCAAUGGCUUCAGUCCAGAAUUUUCUUGGAGUCUUGUAUUCAUCUAGCAUCGUUCUGGCCAUCUCAAUGAGUGUUCUGUUCUUGCGUUCGACGAUGCCAUUCUGCUGUGGCGUGUACGGAGCUGAGAAUUCAUGUGUGAUGCCCAAGGUAUCAAGAUAUGUAUCAAGGCUAGUGUUCUUGAAUUCAGUGCCAUUGUCACUUCUAAUGUGCUUUAUCUUGGCGCCGAAAUUGUUCAUAGCACGAUUGGCGAAGCGUCUGAAGACAUCCUGCACUUCAGUCUUGUAAAGAAUUAUGUGCACCCAAGUAUAUCUAGAAUAAUCAUCAACAAUAACGAAGCCAUAGAGGCAAGCAGUAGUAGUAAAAGUUGAGUAGUGAGUGGGACCAAAGAGAUCCAUGUGAAGCAGUUCGAAGGGUCGAGUAGUGGUCAUGUUUGUCUUCGAGGGAUGUUUUGCCCUCAUCAUCUUCCCUGCUUCACAGGCACCGCAUAAGUGAUCUUUCUUGAACUUGACGCCUUCGAUGCCUAUGACAUGUUUCUUCUUCGCAAGGGUGUGGAGGUUCCUCAUGCCAGCAUGCCUAAGCCUCCGAUGCCAAAGCCAGCAUUCUGAAGCUUUUGCAAGAAGACAUACUGCAAGUUGUGGCCCUGCUGAGAAAUCUACCACGUACAGAUCAUCUUUUCGAUACCCUUCAAACACUAGAGACUUGUCAGUUUCCAUUAGUACUAGGCAACGAUAUUUUCCAAACAUUACGAUCAUGUUCAAAUCGCAAAGCAUUGAGACAGACAUUAAGUUGAAACCAAGGGAUUCAACAAGCAUGACUUUAUCCAUGUGUUGAUCCUUUGAGAUUGCAACUCUACCUAGACCCAAUACCUUACUUUUACCAGUGUCAGCAAAUGUGAUGUGGCUCUUGUCAGAUGGACGUAAGGUUGAGUCCAUAAGAAGACUUCUUUUGCCAGUCAUGUGAUUUGUACACCCACUGUCAAUAAUCCAUUCUGAAGACUUUGAAGACGCUGGUGUCGUACCCUACAGUGCAGUUAAGGGGAUAGGCUUCACGAAGAGAAUUGUGAAGCAAAAACAUUUGACGAACCAGUGGGUUAUGAAAACUUAGAUCCAGAUUAGGACUAAUAGGGAGAGUAGCAUGCGAUUCAGGAACGAAGUACAUAAUGAUGCCAUUCGGGCAUUUUAUCUUGCGCCCUACAAGAUUUUUAAGGUCCCCAGCAAUAGCGUUAGAAGAUUUUGGUUUUCUGCUGGAGACCUUUCCCUACAAAAGAGAGUUAAGCCUUCUUAACCACCCACAUCUUCAAGGGUGGCUUAGAAGCAAUAAGUCUAAGUGCAGCAUCUGAGAAUUUUGGCUUUGAAGCCUUAGCAAACAGUCUUGCAGGUGGACAAUAGUACUCAUAAGAAUAAGUAGAAUAAUUUUUGGUCAUAUGAACAUGACGGUUUGAUGAACCGCUCUCAUAUUCAUAUGCCUGAGUAUGGUUUCCCUGCAAAACAUUUGCGUUAGUGUGACUCAGGCGAGUCCUCUGUUUGUAUGAAGCCUUUGGACCGUAUGAAGCCUUUGGUCUGAGGUUUGUCUUCUUCAAGUGAGGUGUCAUGAAGACAUUCACAGGAAGAUUUUCUAGACACUUUUUCGGAACCCAGAUCUUCUUCAUAGGCGGUCCAUUCCUGCAGUUAGUACCAAUGUACCUGGCAAACACUUCACCAUUCUGAUUCUUAAACAAUAUAUAGUUUGCAUCAAAGGAUUCAUCAAUGAUAAUGGGGUUAGCACAAGUGAAGCCAAAUAAAUUAGAUGGAUCUGCUGAAGGUUCCUUUGCAGCAACCCACUUGGUUUUGGGGUACUGCUCAGGUUUCCAGUAAGAGCCAUCUGCAUUUAUUUUCCUUACGAACCCAACACCCUCUUUCCUAGGGUUUCGGUUCAGAAUCUGCUUCUUGAGGACAUCACAUAAUGUCUGAUGUCCUUUAAGACUUUUGUACAUCCCUGUUUCAAGCAAUGUCUUCAACCUAGCAUUCUCAUCAGCAAUAGCAGUGGUAUCCUCAGCAGAGGGGUUAGUUACCACAUUAACAGUUGAAGAUAUUACAACAGCAGUAGCAGUGGAACAUUCAGCAACAGAAGUAGCAUUAUCACGCUCAAUGCAUUUAAGACAUGGUGGUUCAAAUCCUUCCUGAGCGGAACUGAUCUGUUCGGUGCGAAGUGACUCGUUUUCCUUUUGAAGAUCUUCAUGAGCCACUCUCAAUUUCUCAAGUUCUUGCUUCCUUUGAAGAUAAUCAUAGGAAAGCUUUUCAUGAGUUGUUGAGAGAGUAUCAAGACGAUCUUCAAGUUCCUGAUACUUAACGUGAAGAUUUUUUAUGUCUUCAAUUAAGGAUUCAGAUCGAGUCAUUUCAGCACCCAACAGAUCAUCGCUUCUGUCUAACAGUUUUUGAAUAUGUUCCAUGGCCUUUUGUUGUUCAGUUGCAAUUUUAGCAAGUGUUUUGUAGCUGGGUUUCGAAUCACAAUCAGAGUCAUCGUCAUUGGAUGUUUGAUAGCGAGUAGUGCGUGUGUUUACCUUGGCACCGCGUGCCAUGAAGCAGUAGGUAGGAGUGGAGUCGUCCUUGUCAUUUGCAUCGGUGUCGGUGAUGAAGUCAUUGUCUUCAAUGUUGAAGAUGGACUUGGCGACGUAUGCUGUAGCCAGACUUGCAAUGCCAGAAUCAGACUCCUCCUCAGACUCCAGCUCUGCCUCCUCAGAAGCGGACUCCUCCUCAGAAUCCAUUUCCUUGCCAACAAACGCACGUGCCUUGCCAAAUGAGCUCUUCUUGUGUGAUGAAGAAUUUGUGGAAGACUUGGAAGAAGACUUUGAGUAUUUCUUCUUCUUCUUGUUGUCAGAGUCAUAUUCCUUGCUCUUCUUCUUCCUUCUGUUCUCAUUGUCCCACUGUGGACACUCAGAGAUGAAGUGUCCAGUUUUCUUGCACUUGUGGCAUGUUUUCUUCUUGUAGUCAUGAGCAGAAGCUUCAUCAUUCCUUGAGCUUGAUCGUGAAGACUUUCCGAAGCCUUUCUUCUUGGUGAACUUUUGGAACUUCUUCACAAGCAUUGCAAGUUCCCUUCCAAUGUCUUCAGGAUCAUCAGAACUGUUGUCAGAUUCUUCUUCAGAUGAGGAAAAAGCUUUUGCCUUCAAGGCACGAGUUCGCCCAUAGUUUGAACCGUAGAUAUCUCUUUUCUCAGAAAGCUGAAACUCAUGUGUGUUGAGCCUCUUGAGUAUGUCAGACGGAUCGAGUGUCUUGAAAUCAGGACGUUCUUGAAUCAUCAGGGCUAGAAUGUCAAACGAACUAUCAAGUGAUCUCAGCAGCGUCUUGAUGAUUUCAUGCUUGGUGAUCUCAGUGGCGCCGAGGGCUUGAAGCUCAUUUGUGAUGUCAGUGAGUCGAUCAAAUGUGUGCUGGACAUUCUCAUUGUCAUUUCGCUUGAAGCGGUUGAAGAGAUUGCGAAGGACACUGAUUCUUUGAUCUCUCUGUGUUGAGAUGCCUUCAUUGACCUUGGAGAGCCAGUCCCAGACUAGCUUGGAUGUCUUCAAAGCACUCACACGGCCAUACUGUCCUUUGGUUAGAUGACCACAAAUGAUGUUCUUGGCAGUAGAGUCCAGUUGAACGAAUUUCUUGACAUCAGCAGCAGUGACACCUUCUCCAUCCUUGGGAACGCCGUUCUCGACGACAUAUCAUAGGUCGACGUCAAUAGCUUCAAGAUGCAUGCGCAUCUUAUUCUUCCAGUAGGGAUAUUCAGUUCCAUCGAAGACGGGGCACACAGCGGAGACUUUGAUUAUCCCUGCAGUUGACAUAGCUAAAACUCCAGGUGGUUAAACCGAAUCACACAGAACAAGGGAGCACCUUGCUCUGAUACCAAUUGAAAGUGCGUUAUAUCGACUAGAGGGGGGGGGGGGUGAAUAGGCGUUUUUUAUGAAAGUCUUCAAAACGUGGAAGUUAUGAAGACAAACAGUAGAGAUAUGCCUAUUACUAUGCAGCGGAAGUUAGACUACCCUAGACAAGCCAUGGUCAAGUAUCAAUAGAGUGAAAGCACAGUGACAAAUAGCUGUAGUGUAAUUAGGAUCAGGUAGGAAGAUACUAUGAAGCCAAACAGAUCAUACACUCACAUUGUGAAGACAAAAGAUAGAACAGACAUGCAAUGACUUCACAAUGAGUGAUCAGUAAGUAAAAGGAAGUGAAGAUGAAACCAGUGACUCGUUGAAGACAAUGAUGUGUUGGACCAGUUCCAGUUGCUGUGACAACUGUACAUCUGGUUGGAGCGGCUAGGUAUUUAAACCUUAGGACACACAGUCCCGGACACCCAGUCCUGAACACGUAGCUCAGGACACCAAGUCCUCACCAUAUUCUCCUUGAGCUAAGGUCACAUAGUCCUCGCCCAAUCACUCUGGUAAGUCUUCAAGGUAGACUCCCAAACCUUCACAGACUUCGUUCACUGGCAAUCCACAAUGUCUCUUGGAUGCUCUGAAUGCGACGCCUAACCGUCUGGAGAUGCACAGUCCUCAAGUGUAAUAAGUCUUCAGAUCACACAAACAAGAAGACUUAAGUGAUGCCUAAUGUUCUCUGGCUCUGGGUGGUUAGGGCUUUUCUCCUCGCUAGGAACUUUCUCUCAAAGGCUUCGAGGUGGGUUGCUCUCAAACGACAAAAGCCGUGCACUGAAAUCUGAGCAGCCAACAGUUUAUGGUUUUAGGGGGUGGGCUAUUUAUAGCCUCUUGGCAACCCGACCUGAUUUGUCCGAAAUGACCCUGGGUCACUAAGGAACUGACACGUGUCUCAACGGUCAGAUUUCAAACUCUCAUGGCAACUUUACUUGGGCUACAAGCAAAGCUGACUUGUCCGGCUCUGGACAAGAUUCGCUCUCAUUAUCUUCACUCGAAGACAUAGGUUUUUGGUUUAGGCAUCACUUCAUUCAUUUUGACUGGUUCUCCUGGACCCCACUUAACAGUACGGUGGUUCCUAUGACUCAACACAAAAAGAAAAAGAACUACGAAAGAUCUAAGUCUUCGAGCUCCAUAGGCUUCAUAACGUGUCUUCUUUUGUCAUAGUCUUCAAUGUGAAUAUCUUCAUAUACCACCUUUGGCUUCAAUGUCUUCAUACAUUUUUAGGGGUCAUCUCUGGUAGUGAAACCGAAUCAAUGAGGGACUUCUACUUGUGUUAUCCUGCAAUUCUCACAAACACAUUAGUCCCUCAACUAGGUUUGUCGUCAAUACUCCAAAACCAUCUAGGGGUGGCACUAGAUGCACUUACACCUGGAAAUUCACUUCCAGUGGCAAAUAUUCGGUGGCUACAGCGUACAUGGCGUACUUUGCGGGGCUUGUUCUCAGUCCGACUUCUACGAAUUGGAAGAAUUGGGCUGCUCCCAAGCGCAAAGCCUUUGCUUGGCUUAUCAUUCAAAACCGUGUGUGGAUGGCAUAUUGGUUUCAGCGGCAGGGAUAGCCAAAUUGCGGCCUAUGCCCCCUAUGCAAACAAGUUCAUGAAUCUGCCGCCCAUCUUCUUUUCCAGUGUAGAUUCACUGCCAUGUUUGAAAUAAGGUCAUAGCUUGGCUUGGCAUGCACAUCCACUUGCCAAUGGCUUGGCACCAUGGAGACUCUAUUCAAGAUUCGUGGCUGAAGACAAUCAUCCUGGGAGGGCAUAUCAAGAAGGCUACUGUCUUCGUAUUGAUGCUUGUCUCAUGGAAAAUUUGGAAGGAGCGAAACGCUAGAAUCUUUUGCAACAGGCUUCUCCGUCCACUGAUACAUCCAUUUUGCAUCAUGUUUUCUUACUAUUAUUUAUGAUGUUUUUUGGAGCAAUUCUAAUGCAAGGUAUACACAAAGAGGGAGAAUUUCGGCAGCUGGAAAUCUGGACCUGGAAAAGCUACGUCAGACUACCUAUUCUGCACAAUUCCAAACAAGCUGAAACUUCACGGAGAAUUUUUAUGGAAUAUAUGAGGAAUAUUGGAGCAAAUAAGUACCAGAGGGGGCCCACCAGGUGGGCACAACCCACCUGGGUGCGCUAGGGAGCCCAGGCGCGCCCUGGUUGGUUGUGCUCACCCAGGCCCACCUCCGGUGCCCAUCUUCUAGUAUAUAAGUCAUUUUGACCUAGAAAAAAUAAGGGGAGGACUUUCGGGGUGGAGCACCGCCAUCUCGAGGCAGAACUUGGGCAGGAGCACUUUUGCCCUCCGGCGGAGCGAUUCCACCGGGGGAACUUCCCUCCCGGAGGGGGAAAUCAUCGUCAUCAUCAUCACCAACAGCUCUCCCAUUUUGGGGAGGGCAAUCUCCAUCAACAUGUUCAACAACACCAUCUCAUCUCAAACCCUAGUUCAUCUCUUGUGUUCAAUCUUGUUACCAGAACUAUAGAUUGGUGCUUGUGGGUGACUAGUAGUGUUGAUUACAUCUUGUAGUUGAUUACUAUAUGGUUUAUUUGGUGGAAGAUUAUAUGUUCAGAUCCAAUAUGCUAUUUAGUACCCCUCUCAUCUUAAGCACGAUUAUCAUUUGUGAUUAGUUACUUUUGUUCUUGAGGACAUGGGAAAAAUCGUGUUGCAAGUAAUCAUGUGAAAUUGAUAUGUGUUCGAUAUUUUGAUAGUAUAUAUGUUGUAAUUCCCUUAGUGGUGUCAUGUGAACAUCGACUACAUGAUACUUAACCAUAUUUGGGCCUAAGGGAAUGCAUUGUGGAGUAGCAAUUAGAUGAUGGGCUGCGAGAGUGACAUAAGCUUAAACCCCAGUUUAUGCGCUAUUCCGUAAGGGACCGAUUGGAUCCAAAAGUUUAAUGCUAUGGUAAGAAUGUAUGCUUAAUACUUUUCUCGUAGUUGCGGAUGCUUGCGGGAGGGUUAAUCAUAAGUAGGAGGUUUGUUCAAGUAAGAACAACACCUAAGCACCAGUCCACCCACAUAUCCAGUUAUCAAAGUACCGAACACAAAUCAAAACAACAUGGUGAAAGUGACUAGAUGAAAAUCCCGUGUACCCGCAAGAACGCUUUGCUUAUCAUAAGAAACCGUUUUGGCCUGUCCUUUGCCAAAAAAGGAUUGGGCUACCUUGCUGCACAUUUGUUACUAUUAUCGUUACUUGCUCGUUACAAAUUAUCUUGCUAUCAAACUACUCUGCUACCUACAAUUUUAGCACUUGUAGACAUUACCUUACUGAAAACCACUUGUCAUUUCCUUCUACUCCUUGAUACAUCUCCAAGGUAUCUAUAAUUUAUGAAGUAUUCAUGCUGUUUUAUUAUCAUUCUUGGAUGUUUUACAAUCAUUUUAUAGCAACUUUAUAUCAUUUUUUGGGACUAACCUAUUGACCCAGUGCCCAGUGCCAGUUGCUGUUUUUUGCUUGUUUUUUACAUCACAGGAAAUCAAUAUCAAAUGGAGUCCAAACACCAUGAAACUUUUUGUGGAUUUUUUAUGGACCAAAAGACCACCAGUGGGCCAAAGAAGCACCUGGGGGUGCCCCGAGGGGGGCACAACCCACCAGGCGCACCCAGGUGGGUUGUGCCCACCUCGGUGGCCUCCCGUACCCCUUCUUUGCACUAUAAAUUCCCAAAUAUUCUGAAACCCUUAGGGGUUAACCUAGAUCAGAAGUUUCGCCGCCGCAAGGCUCUGUAGCCACCGAAAACCAAUCUAGACCCUUUCCGGCACCCUGCCGUAGGGGGGAUCAUCUCCGGUGGCCAUCUUCAUCAUCCCGACGGCCACCACGAUGAGGAGGGAGUAGUCCACCCUUGGGGCUGAGGGUUUGUACCAGUAGCUAUGUGUUUAAUCUCUCUCUCUCUCUCUCUCAUGUUCUUGAGAUACCAUGAUCUUGAUGUAUCACGGGCUUUGUUAAUAUAGUCGGAUCAUAUGGUGUUUUCCCCUCUCUAUCUUGUGAUGAAUUGAGUUUUCCCUUUGAGUUUUUGUUUUAUCGAAUUGAAUACUUUUAUGGAUUUGAGAGCACUUGAUAUAUGUCUUGCAUAUGAAUACUCGUGGUGACAAUGGGAUAUCGUAUUGAUUCACUUGAUAUAUGUUUUGGCACUCAACUCGCGGAUUCCCGAGGUGACAUUGGGGUAACCUAUGCAUAGGGGUUGAUGCACAUUCUUGUCUUUGUUUCUCCGGUAGAAAUCCUGGGGCACUCUUUGAAGUUCUUUGUGUUGGAUUGAAUAUUAUGAAUCUAGAUUUGCUUUGGUGUAUUUUAGUACAAACUCUUGGUUAGAUCGAUCGGAAAGAAUAGCUUCGUGUUAUUUUAGUACGAACUGUAGGAUAGAUUGAUCGGAAAGAAUAGCUUUGAGGUGGUUUCGUACCCUACAAACAAUUCCGUCUUAUGUUCUCCACUAGAUAGGAACUUUGGAGUGAUUCUUCGUUGCACGUUGAGGGACGGUUAUAUGAUCCAAUUAUAUUAGCACUAUUGAGAGAUUGCACUAGUGAAAGUACAGACCCUAGGCCUCAUUUUCAAGCAUUGAAAUACCAUUUUUGUGCCCGUUUACUAUUUUCUACCUUGCUGUUUUUAUUUAUUCAGAUUAUAAAAAUAUAUUUCUACCAUCCAUAUCACACUUUUAUCACCAUCUCUUCGCUGAACUAGUGCACCUAUACAAUUUUCCAUUGUAUUGGGUGUGUUGGGGACACAAGAGAUUUCUUGUAUUUGGUUGCAGGGUCGUUUGAGAGAGACCAUCUUCAUCCUACACCUCUCACGGAUUGAUAAACCUUAGGUCAUCCACUUGAGGGAAAAUUGCUACUGUCCUACAAAACUAUGCGCUUGGAGGCCCAACACGUGUCUACAAGAAUAAAGUUGCGUAGUAGACAUCACUCCUCAUUGGGUUCGACACUCUUACUUAUCGAAAAGAGCUACAAUUGAUCCCCUAUACUUGUGGAUCAUCAAGGCUAUUUUCUGGCGCCAUUGCCGGGGAGUGAAGCGCCUUUGGUAAGUGGAAAUUGGUAAGGAAACAUUUAUAUAGUGUGCUGAAAUUUAUUGUCACUUGUUACUAUGGAAAACAAUCCUUUGAGCGGUUUGUUCGGGGUACCUUCACCUCGACCGAAACCACAAUUAGCUACCCCUCAACCUACUGCACCUAUUGAAAAUAUUGAAUAUGAAAUUCCUUCGGGUAUGAUAGAACAACUGCUAGCUAAUCCUUAUGCAAGAGAUGGAACCGAACAUCCUGAUAUGCACUUGAUAUAUGUAGAACAAAUUUAUGGAUUGUUCAAGCUUGCAAGUUUACCCGGAGACGAAGUUAUGAAGAAGGUUUUCCCUUUAUCUUUGAAGGGAAAAUCAUUGGCAUGGUAUAAGCUAUGCGAUGAUAUUGGAUCCUGGAAUUGGAACAGAUUGAAAUUGGAGUUCCAUCAAAAAAAAUAUCCUAUGCAUCUAGUUCACCGUGAUUGGAAUUAUAUAUAUAAUUUUUGGCCUCAUGAAGGAGAAAGUAUCGCUCUAGGUUGGGGAGGCUGAAGUCAAUGUUACAUUCAUGCCCCAAUCAUGAGCUCUCAAGAGAAAUUAUUAUCCAGAAUUUUUAUGCUCGGCUUUCUCGUAAUGAUCAAACCAUGCUUGAUACUUCUUGUGCUGGUUCUUUUAUGAAGAAGACAAUUGAAUUCCGGUGGGACCUUUUGGAAAAAAUUAAACGGAACUCUGAAUAUUGGGAACUCGACGAAGGUAAAGAGUCAGGUAUUAAGCUUUAGUAUGAUUGUGUUAAAUCUUUUAUGAACAUCGAUGCUUUUCAAACAUUUAGCUCUAAAUAUGGACUUGACUCUGAGAUAGUAGCCUCCUUUUGUGAAUCAUUUGCUACUCAUGUUGAUCUCCCUAAGGAGAAGUGGUUUAAAUAUCACCCACCUAUUAAAGAAGAAAUUAAAGGACUGGUACCAGUUAAAUAAGAAACUAUAAUUUAUAAUGUAGACCCAGUUGUUACUACUGCUUAUAUUGAGAAACCACCUUUCCCUGUUAGGAUAAAAGAACAUGCUAAAGUUUCAACUGUGGUCGACAAAAGUUAUAUUAGAACACCUAAACCCAAUGAACAAAUUAAAGUAGAACCUAGUAUUGCUAUGGUUAAAGAUCUCUUGGAAGAAGAUGUAGAUGAGCAUGUUAUUUACUUCUGUGAAGAAGCUGCUAGAAUUGCCAAACCUGAUAAAAAGGAUAAACAUAGACCUGUUGUUGGCAUGCCCGUUGUCUCAGUUAAAAUAUGAGAUCACUGUUAUCAUGGUUUAUGUGACAUAGGUGCUAGCGUGAGUGCUAUUCCUUAUUCCUUAUAUCAAGAAAUUAUGAAUGACAUAGCACCCGCAGAGAUAGAAGACAUAGAUGUUACUAUCAAACUUGCUAAUAGAGACACUAUAUCACCAAUUGGGAUUGUUAGAGAUGUUGAAGUCUUGUGUGGGAAAAUAAAAUACCCUACUGAUUUUCUUGUUCUUGGUUCCCCACAAGAUGGCUUUUGUCCCAUUAUCUUUGGUAGACCUUUCUUGAACACCGUUAAUGCUAAGAUAGACUCUGAGAAACAAACUGUCGGUAUUAGUUUUGGUGAUGAGUCUCAUGAGUUUAUUUUUUCCAAGUUUAGUAGAAAACUUCAUGAAAAAGAAUUGCCUAGUAAAGAUGAAUUAAUUGGUCUUGCUUCUAUUACUGUGCCUCCUACCGAUCCACUAGAACAAUAUUUGCUAGACCAUGCAAAUGAUUUACAUAUGCAUGAAAGAAAUGAAAUAGAUAAGAUUUUCUUUGAACAACGUCCUCUGCUUAAAUACAAUUUGCCUAUCGAAACUCUAGGAGGUCAUCCUCCUCCUAAAAGUGAUCCUGUGUUUGAAUUAAAACAAUUGCCAAACACUUUGAAAUAUGCUUAUCUUGAUGAAAAGAAGAUAUAUCCUGUUAUUAUUAGUGCUAACCUUUCAGAACAUGAAGAAGAAAGAUUAUUGAAAGUUCUAAGGAAGCACCGAGCUGCUAUUGGAUAUACUCUUGAUGAUUUAAAGGGCAUUAGUCCCACUCUAUGUCAGCACAAAAUUAAUAUGGAGCCUGAUGCUAAACCCAUUGUUGAUCACCAACGUCGGUUAAAUCCGAAGAUGAAAGAAGUGGUAAGAACAGAAAUAUUAAAACUUCUAGAAGCAGGUAUAAUCUAUCCCAUAGCUGAUAGUACAUGGGUUAGUCCUGUUCAUUGUGUCCCUAAAAAGGGAGGUAUAACUGUUGUUCCUAAUGAUAAGAAUGAACUUAUUCCCCAAAGAAUGGUUACAGGUUAUAGAAUGGUAAUUGGUUUUAGAAAAUUUAAAAAAGCAACUAGAAAAGAUCAUUACCCUCCGCCUUUUAUUGAUCAAAUGCUAGAAAGAUUAUCUAAACACACACAUUUUUGCUUCCUUGAUGGAUAUUCUGUUUUUUCACAAAUACCUGUUUCUCAACUUGAUCAAGAAAAGACCACUUUUACUUGUUCCUUUGGAACUUAUGCUUAUAGACGUAUGCCUUUUGGUUUAUGCAAUGCACCUGCUACCUUUCAAAGAUGUAUGACUGCUAUAUUCUGUGACUUUUGUGAAAAGAUUGUUGAGGUUUUUGUAGCGACCAGACCUCAAACGGUCCAAUCUCUGUGCUCAGGUGUCAUCCCUGGAUCAGUAAUGCUGACACCACACAGUACUUGAAGGAUUUAUAAUAGAGUAGCAAUCACACACUUAUUACAUCGAGUGUCUCAAAAGAGAACUUAUUACAAUAAAUAUGGCUUAAGGCCAUCUAAUAAUGAUAACAGCGGAAGGCUUGGAAGAUAAGUGAGUCCAUAAACUCCAACGACAUCACUGAGUAUAGAACGACGACCUAAAAGCACCUUAAUUUUCGUCUAAAAAGUCUGCAACAUUAAUGUUGCAGCCCGAAACGGGUCAGCACAUGGAAUAUGCUGGCAAAGUAACACAUAGAGAGUAAUGGAAUGAAAUAGGCUAUUCUAUAGGCAUAUUUGGCUGGUGGAAAGCUCUAUGGUUACAGUUUUGUGUAAAGCCAAUUUUUCCCUACUGCUAAGGAAUAAAUUUUAUUUAACUAUCAUGGUAGUUGUUAAACAUUGAGAAUGGUUGACAGCAUUCUCAAUCCCAAUUAAGCAUCAUCAUUAAACAUAACCCAACAAAAUUAAUUUUAGAGUAACAUGAUGAGAUUCACAUGAUAAUCCAAGUACUAGAUACUCAAGAUGUCCAUAACCGGGGACACAACUAAUCAUGAUUAGUUUAUACACUCUGUAGAGGUUUGCGCACUUUUCCCCACAAGACUCGAUCGCCUCCGUUUGAUUUCUCGCACUACAAGGUGUUUGAGAAACGGACGACCGAGACAUAGUCUUUCAGAAGCGCUAGCACCUUACGAACGGGUAGACCGUUACACCUAGUUUCCCCUACAUCUGCUAGUAUACCACUGUAAGAGUUCGCAUGACUUAAUCAACUAUGCUAGAGCCCAUAGUAGCUUGUGGCUGCACACAGAAGUUUCUAGCAUGAAUAAUCUCAUGAUCCCUUUGAGCCUGGGUGGCGGUCCAAAAGAAAAACAGGCAAUCGCUGGAAUACCCAGGUGCCUCAAUCCACUCAAAUGUGUAUUUAAGUUGCCACCUUAGAUAAACCAUUAAUUUAACAAACUCACAUCUGUCAUGGAUACACUCACCCAAUCCAUGUCUACUAGCAUAGCAUGGCACAAUAAGCAAACGUAGAAGUAACUCCCAAAGGUUUGAUAAUAACAGGUAAUAGGUACUACCUCAACUACUUCCCAAGCCCACAAUUUAAUUAGAUCCUAAUCAUGCAAUGUGUGAGGAUUGAUCUAAUGCAAUAAAACUUGGUAGUAGGAGGUAUGAUCAAAGUGUUACUUGCCUUGAUGAUGAUCCGCAAAACCUAGCGAUUCGAAGUAGCAAGCGGCGCACUCCGGGUACUCUAUCGCAAACAAACAAGCAUACAAUAAGUACUCAACUAGUGCACAGGUAAAACUCGAAUAAAAGAUCUAACCAGAAAGUUCAACUUAAGAACUCCGGUUGGCCAAAGAAAUCAAAUCGAACGAAGCAAUGAAAGACAAACGGCAAAAGAAACAUGCUUCGUUUACUAAUAUGGAUCUAGGGUAAUUUUUACAGUGGCAAAAACUUGUUUGAGCUGGUUAAACGGAAAGAGGGUUACGAGACGAAACUCUAGGCGCUUGAAUCGCCUGAUUCCGAUAAACGAGCGAAAAGUUAGACUAAAACGAAAAUCGGAUCAGGAAUCGCGAUAUGAAAAAUCGCGGAUUUAAUCAGAGAAAAAGAAAAAUGACGAACGUUCAUUAAAACGAACGAACGGACGAAAGCUCGCUAAUUAAAUAAACCGGAAAAACCGAUCUAUUUAAAAAAUGAAACUAAAAAACCCGAACAAAACCGACGGAAAGCCGAUCGGUUUUCUAAAAAAACUGACGGCGAAAAAAAACUACCUCCAGCGGCGGUCCGGCGGCGGCGGUGGCAGGGCGCGGCGGCGGCGGGGCGGCGGCCUAGGGUUAAGGGUUCGGGGGCGGCGGCGACUUGGGCUGGCCUCGGGCCUCGGGGCGCGUCCUGGCCGGUUACGGCCCAAGGUCGGUUCAGACUCUUUUUUUAAAAAUAAUUACGCUCAGAAAAAAAGGAAUACUAAACAGACCCCGGCUUCUAAAAUCAAGCCGCACAGGAUGAACAUUUAUUUGGGGCCUAAAUGCAAUUUUGAAAAAUGCGCAUUUUUCCCUAAUUCAAAUAAAAUAGCAAAUAAAUCCAAAUAAAAUCUUAUUUGAUUUUUUUAUUAAAUCCUCAAUGUUUCUUUAUUUUGGGAAAGUCAUUUUAUUCCCUCUCUCAUAUUUUUGUAAUAGAAAUAAUUGAAGAUAAAAUAAAUAAAAUCAAAUGAUCCUAUUUUCAAAAUUUGAGAAAACUCAAAUAUGAAAAUAACGAAAUCCUCAACUCUCUUCAAGGGUCAUUGAGUUGCGUAGAAUUUUCUAGGAUCAACCAAAAUGCAAAUAAAAUAUGAUAUGCAAUGAUGAUCUAGUGUAUAACAUUCCAAAUUAAAAAUUUGGGAUGUUACAAACCUAUCCCCCUUAAGAUGAAUCUCGCCCUCGAGAUUCGGGUUGGCUAGAAAAUAGGUGAGGUUGGUCCUUCAGCAAUUCCUCCUCUCGUUCCCAGGUGGCUUCAUCCUCCGUGUGGUGGCUCCACUGAACCUUGCAAAACUUGAUAACCUUGCUGCGGGUGACUCGACUGGCAUACUCCAGAAUCUUAACUGGUUUCUCCUCAUAGGUCAAAUCACUAUCCAACUGAAUCGCUUCCAGUGGCACUGUAUCUCUCAGCGGUAUAUCAGCCAUCUCUGCGUGGCACUUCUUCAACUGGGAAACGUGGAACACGUCGUGAACUCCUGACAAUCCUUCGGGCAAUUCCAACUUAUAGGCUACUUCUCCCAUACGCUCCAAAACUUUGUAUGGGCCUACAAAACGUGGCACUAACUUUCCCUUAACUCCAAAGCACUUAACUCCUCGAAGUGGAGAUACUCGAAGAUAAACUCGGUCUCCGACUUCGUAAACUGUCUCCUUGCGUUUAGAAUCUGCAUAACUCUUCUGCCUGGAUUGAGCUACCUUGAGCCUAUCGUGAAUCAAUUUCACUUUCUGUUUAGAAUCCUUUAUCAGAUCCGGCCCAGACAACUGGCGGUCUCCAACUUCAUCCCAAGACAAUGGGGUCCUGCACCUCCUUCCGUACAAGGCUUCGAAAGGGGCCAUCUUCAAACUGGAUUGGUAACUGUUGUUGUAAGAGAACUCUGCAUAUGGCAAAUUCUCGUCGCAACUAGAUCUUUAAUCUAGCGCACAAGCUCUCAGCAUAUCCUCCAAAAUCUGAUUGACUCUCUCGGUCUGUCCAUCUGUCUGCGGGUGGAAUGCUAUACUAAACUCAGUCUGGUACCCAAAGUUUCAUGCAACUGAUUCCAGAACUUUGAGGUAAAUUGGGUUCCUCUAUCUGAUACUAUGCUCCUUGGAACUCCAUGCAGACAUACAAUUCUGGUCAUGUAUAUCUUUGCCAACUUUGCACUGGUAUAGGUAGUCUUUACUGGAAUGAAAUGAGCUACCUUUGUCAAACGAUCGACUACAACCCAUAUCGAGUCAUAGCCUGAACAUGUUCUGGGCAAUCCUGUAAUAAAAUCCAUGCCUAGCUUAUCCCACUUCCAUUCGGGUAUCGGCAAUGGCUGUAGCAAUCCGGCUGGCUUCUGAUGCUCUGCCUUUACUCUCUGACAUACAUCACAAACUGCUACAUACUCCGCAAUAUCCUUCUUCAUUCCGGUCCACCAGAAGGUGUCCUUCAAAUCCAAAUACAUUUUGGUAUUUCCUGGGCGAAUCGAAUAUGGUGAAUCAUGGGCCUCUUGUAAAAUUAACUUCCUGGUCUCCAAAUCAUUUGGUACAUAAACACGGUCUUCAAAACAUAAGGUAUCGUGGUCAUCCUCACGAAAUCCUUUAGCUUUUCCUUUGCUCAUUUUCUCCUUAAUAGAAGCAAUCUCCUUGUCAGUCUUUUGAGCUUCUCUGAUCUUAUCCAUAAAAGUAGACUGAAUCUCCAAUGCUGCUACAUAGCCUCUUGGAACUAUUUCCAAACAUAGCUCUCGAGGAUUUUCGGCUAACUCCCUUGGUAAAUCUCCCGUCAUUAGUGUGUUGACGUGGCUUUUACGGCUCAACGUGUCAGCUACUACAUUAGCCUUUCCGGGGUGAUAAUGCAAUUUCAUAUCAUAAUCCUUGAUGAGCUCCAACCAUCUCCUUUGCCUGAGAUUCAACUCCUUCUGCGUGAAAAUAUACUUCAAACUCUUGUGAUCCGUGUAUACCUCACAAUGGUUUCCAAUGAGAAAGUGUCUCCACAUCUUCAACGCAUGCACUACGGCUGCUAACUCCAAAUCAUGCGUAGCAUAAUUUAACUCAUGCGGCUUAAGCUGUCGUGAGGCAUAGGAAACCACUCUUCCUUCCUGCAUAAGCACUGCUCCAAGUCCUCGACGUGAAGCGUCGCAUACACCUCAUAAUCCUUGGUCUGAUCUGGCAAAAUCAAUACUGGUGAGGUAACCAAACGUUUCUUUAACUCCUGGAAACUAGCCUCACAUUCUUCAGUCCAUACGAACUUGGUAUCCUUUUUCAACAACUCCGUCAUAGGCUUCGCAAUGUUUGAGAAAUUCUCAAUGAAUCUCCGGUAGUAUCCUGCGAGUCCAAGAAAACUCCGGAUCUCUCCAACUGUUGUUGGGGCUUCCCAAUUGGUCAUGGUAUCAACCUUAGUGGGAUCUACUGCUAUACCUUCUCCGGAUAUAACGUGUCCGAGAAAUCCAACUUCUUUCAACUAAAACUCACAUUUGCUAAACUUGGCAUAUAACUGAUGUUCUCUGAGCUUACCAAGUACCAAACGCAAAUGUUCCUUAUGCUCCUCUUCAUUCUUCAAGUAAACAAGGAUAUCAUCAAUGAACACUACGACGAACUUAUCCAAAAACUCCAUAAACACUUUCUUCAUCAUGUUCAUAAAAUAUGCAGGCACGUUAGUCAGACCAAAUGACAUAACGGUAUACUCGUACAGCCCAUACCUGGUGGUAAAAGCCGUCUUAGGUAUAUCCUGUUCUCGAAUCUUCAACUGGUGGUAUCCUGAUCGCAGAUCGAUCUUGGAAAAUACCUUAGCUCCUUGCAAUCGAUCAAACAGAUCAUUGAUCAUCGGUAGUGGGUAUUUGUUCUUGAUGGUUACUUCAUUUAAUCCUCGAUAAUCAACGACCAUCCUUAACGAUCCAUCUUUCUUCUCCACUAAAAGUACUGGCGAUCCCCAAGGUGAAGAACUUGGGCGAAUAUAUCCUUUAUCCAGCAACUCCUUAAUCUGCUUUUUAAUCUCCACCAAAUCCUUUGCGGGCAUCCUAUAUGGUCUCUUUGAUAUUGGCCCUGUGCCUGGCAAAAGCUCAAUCAAAAACUCAAUAUAUCUAUCCAGUGGCAUGCCUGGCAACUCUUCUGGAAAUACAUCAGGGAAAUCCUUCACUACUGGUACUUCCUCCUGCACAAAUCCUGUUAGACAAUUUACUUGAGUCCUCUUCGGCACAUGCCGGGAUACAUACUUGAUCCUUCUCCCUUCUGGGGUGGUAAGCAAGAUCGACUUACUGGCGCAAUCGAUGUUUCCUCCAUACAUCGACAGCCAAUCCAUACCCAGAAUUACAUCCAAUCCUUGUGAUUCCAAAAUGAUCAAAUCCGAGGGAAACACAUGCCUACCUAUUCUCAAUGGCACUUGAAAAUAUCCUUGGCUAGCCAUAUACUCCGCUCUUGGUGAGCUUACUAACAUAGGUUUUCUGAGAACUUUGGUGGGUAGACUAUACUUAUCCACAAAUCCCCUUGAUAUGUAUUAAUGCGAUGCACCAGUAUCGAAAAGAACGAGUGCAGUAAAUGACUUAACCAAAAACUUACCGAUUAUUGCAUCCAGCUGCUCUUCAACCUCCUCCACGUUAAUGUGGUUCACCUGUCCCCUGUUGAAAGGGUUCGGAUUAUUCCUAGAGCUUCCAUUGCCAUUACCAUUCUGUGAUUCAGGACAUUCAUUGGCAUAAUGUCUGGUCUUCUGGCACUUAAAACAAGUGACUUGGCUCAGGUCUCUCUUGGCUAGGGUCGAUGGGUUGGUGCGGUUCUGGCCGUUGCUUCCUCCAUUACCAUUACCAUUCUUGGUGCCAUUGUGAUUGUGCGAGCUACCUCCUCCAUGGGUAUGCUGAAAAUGUCCUCCCGGUCUAGGGGUAAAACGUGGCUUCUGCUGAGCUCCUGAAUUGUACUUCCCUUGUCCAUACUUCCUCUUGCGAUUCUCAAUCUACUGCUGCUUCCCUGCAAUCAUGAGAGCACGAUCUACCAACUCCUAGUAGUUGUUGAAGGUUGCUACCAUCAACUGCAUGCUCAACUCAUCAUUCAGUCCUUCCAGAAACUUCUCCUGCUAAGCUGCAUCCGUAGCUACGUCUCUGGGGCAUAACAUGCUAAUUUACUAAAGUCCUCCACAUACUGGCCAACUGUCCAUCCUCCUUGGCGCAAGUUGCGAAACUCUCGCUUCUUCAUGGCCAUAGCUCCUGCUGAAACAUGGGCAGUACGAAAAGCCUGCUGAAACUGGUCCCACGUGACAAUGUCGACAUGGAAAGUGGCUGUGAAAUUCUCCCACCAUGAUGCUGCGGGUCCUUCAAGCUUAUGUGCGGCAAACUUCACCUUUUCCGCAUCUGUGCAUCCUGCUGUGGUCAACUCCCUUGCUGUCUCAUGGAGCCAAUCAUUUGCUACUAUCGGCUCGGUGCUACUGGAAAACACCGGCGGAUUCAGCCUAAGAAAACAGGCUAAAUGAUCAACAGGUGGUGGUGGCGGUGGGUUGUUGUUGUUCCCCUGAUUCUGGUUCUGGACUAGCAAAUGCAUCAAUGUGUUCUGCUGCUGGAUCAACUGAGUGAGCUCCGGUGAGAAGGUAAAUCCAGGGUCACGUCUCGGAGGCAUCUGAGGGUUUAGAAAAGAUGAGAUUUAAGAAUAGAGGGGGUCUAAAGAGAAAACACUACCCAUAUGCACAUGAGGCAAAAGCAAACAACUCACUUCAUUCAAUCAAUCAACAAGGGCAUACAAUCGAUCUAACUAUCGCAAAAGUGCUCGGACUACUAUAUUUACAUGGUGGACUACUACUACUGAUUUGGUGGUCUACUAGAAAUAUUCUUCGGUUGCAGACUCCAUUAUAUCUGCUCCAGCUUCAUCAACAUAGUCAUCAUCGCUGUUGGAGUAAUGGGCCACGGGUAGGCUAGCCUGAGCCCCAGAACCUUUCAAGACAUCGGGGCAGGCCGCGCCCCUCAAGACCCCGGGACGAAGAGCCACCUUCUGAGAAGUCGGCGGCAAGACGGCCGACUGCCCACUCGCGGCCGAGUCCCAGGGGCGACUUCAGGAUAAGCCGACUCCUGACUGGCGACUUCCAGAGAAGCCGGCUUUGGGGAGUCGGCCCGCAACUCCAACGAACCCAUAUCCUCAUCAAGAGGGACAGGACCGGGGAGUGGCUACAGUAAAGCCCGCUCCCGCCCUUUACCAAGGGCAAGCAUGGCCACAACACGUCGUACCAGGGGAGAUCUCCGUGCGGCGUGGCACUGUUGCCAUGCUAGCCCUGAAAUCAGCACCGAAGGACUGAAUCCAGCGCCCACGACGGCUUGUCUGUAUGACCCUGGGGGGGGGGGGUCCCACCAGUCAGUGGGACCCCAGGAGGCGGCAAGCGCGCCACCAGUCGGCCCCUGGAGUCGGCCAGACCCUCCCCCAGGGCCCACGCGCCAUUAACCAGAUGUGACGGAGAGUGGCAAUAGUGAUCGCCCGCCAGGCGGCGGGGCUGUUGCCAGGACCCCAUGAUCAAGCCCGCGUCAUUAGAAGCACGGCUACAGUAAUUAGCAGCCGGCAAGACCUGCCCGUGGCGGACGCGGCCUGUUGGCUCCGUACCUGGCCAGUCGGCAGGGCCCACCAGUCGGCAGGCCCCAGCAGUCGGCGGAGAAGACGGAGGCCAGAGGCACUGAUGGCUGGGCCCUCAUCCAGCCGGAUUACCAUUGUACCCCUGGGGGGUAGGCCUACAUAAACCCCCAGGGCGCCCAUGCAAAGGGUUGGAAUCCAUUAGUCCUAGACCAGAUGAUAUAGGAGGAAGAGAGCUAGCCUUGCCCUCUCCUACCUCCAGGAAGCAGCUCAAGGAGCAAUCGUGUAAACAUCUUGCCAUAGUGAUCAUGCGGAGACCCCGUAGAGCAGCAGUAGGGGGAUUAUCUCCCCGGAGAGCCUUGAAGCCGGGUAAGGUUCGCCGGCGUGUAUGUCUACGCCUCAUCCCGUUUCCAGGCACCAGCGACGUUCUACUCGCCCCCACCAUGAUAAGCCAUCCUUUGGAAUAUGUCGCACCCAACCCCCGACAUUUGGCGCCCACCGUGGGGCAUGGUGCACUGCCAUCCAGAGACCUGUUCUGGACGGGAACCUUUUUCCUCCCUGGCGAGCGCAGCCAGCCAGGCAUGCCAGACGGAGUUUGCGCUGACGCGCUGCAUGGCAUUGAGAUCGCCUGCGCAGCCAGCUGCCUCCCCGAACUUGUCGGAGAGGUUCGCCUCUCCGAUGAACCUGCAUCUGACGCAGGCACGGGCGGCUCCGAGAGCCUCCUCGCGGGCCUCCUCGAUCAACUCCAUGUUUCCGGCGAGCCUGCCGCGGACUUGGAGUCUGUAGGCUCCACCGACCCGAUGCUGGUCGACUCUGACACCGCGUCGCUCAAUGCAUUCCCCACUAAUGUGGUGGUCUACGACGAGCCUCUCCCUCGCGCGGAGAGCGACGGAAGCACCGUCACCGAGGUGCUAGUCAUCAGCCAUGAUGAGCUCCCUAGCGGAGGAGCGCACGAUCCGCUCGGUGCGACGCUACAAGACCUGACUGCGCCCAUUCCGGAAGACGCCGACGCGGAGACGUUGGAGGCGCGCUGCCUUCAGCUCGUCGAAGGCGCGAAGAAGCUGGCUAGCAUGAGGCGCUUGUCAGAGGCCUAUCAGCGAGAGAUAGAUCGCGCUGUUGGCGGCUCGCCGGCCCCAGCGGGGCCCAGCCGCCUUGGCGCGGUCCAGCAGCGCGGCGUAGCCAUCGCCGACCUAUUUGAGGCAAGCCGCCCUGUGUACGCUACACCGGCGGAGAACAUCCGAGCCGCCCAGGCGGCGGCGGACGAGCUGGACAAUUUCGAGGGCGAAGAACGCCGCCUGAUGAUGGAGCGAGUCGAGCGGCUCCUCGACGCGGCUGCCGCGCAGAACGAGGCCGGCUGCCGCACGGAGGCGCCGCAGCGGCAAAACGACGACCUUCGCCGAGAUCAAGGCGCGACAUCUUGGACGCCGACUGGCAGUGCCCGAGGAAGAAGAGACAAGGAUCUGGCUGUCAGCCAUAGUCAGACUCACAUAACCAUAGAGAGCGACCGAGACGGCCGCCCGAGAGGAGUGGAACGACGGGACGACUAUCGCCUCCUCCUCCUCGCAAGGAGAUGUGAGUCUCCCCGACGCCAGUUGACCAUUCGACUCUCGGCGACCGCCUUGGCCGCCGAGAGGGAGUCGAAGAAAAUGACGCCCGCCACCGGAUCGACCGACUCCACCGAUCCCUAGCGCUGGAAGAAGAAGAUGAGUUGGGUCCGCCUUGUUUCGGGCCCCGCAUUCGAGACGAGUCCUUUCCCAGAGGUUUCACGCUCCCAAGAGACACGCCCAAGUAUACCGGCUCCAUGAAGCCGGAAGACUGGCUGGUCGACUACUCCACGGCUGUUAGCAUAGCAAACGGCAACAAGCGUGUCGCCGUAAAGUACGUUCCGCUCAUGCUCCAGGGCACGGCUCGGACAUGGCUGAACAGCCUGAAGCCCUGCAGCAUCAACAGCUGGGUCGACUUCACUGAAGCAUUCGUCCGCAACUUCACCAGCACGUACAAGCAUCCUCCCAAGCCUCGUCAGCUCUCCUUGUGCUUGCAAGGUCCCGACGAGUCGACUUGCGAUUACCUCACACGUUGGGCCAAGCUUCAGAACUCCUGCUAGGGCGUGCACGAGGUGCAGGCCAUCGAGUACUUCACAGCCGGGUGCAGAGAAGGCACCCUCCUCAAGCACAAGCUCCUCUACGACGAGCCAGAAUCCCUCGACGAGCUGUUGAUCAUAGCAGACAAGUACGCCACGGCCGACUCCUCCAUGAAGGCGGAGAUUCAAGUCAGCGCAACUGGCAAAGUGGCCCCUCAAGCUCCAAGGACUCUAGCGGGAGACGCCAAUCGGCGACAACAGCAGGGCGACCACAAGCACAAGGCCCCACAGCCGGCGUCCAGCAGCCGGCAGGUCGCGACAGUUGAAGCCCAGCAGCCGGAUGGGCAGCCUGUGCCCAAGUGACAGAAAGGCGGCAAGCCCAACUGGUUGCCGGCCUUCUCCUACGAGCAGACUCUGGAUGGACCUUGCAAGUUCCAUAGAGGCGCGAAGCCGUCGAAUCACACCACCCGGAAGUGCCACUGGCUCACCAGGAUCGCCAAGGGAGACGGCCUCCUACCUCCCUCGCCCGCUGGGCAGCCGCCUCCGCCUCCGCCCCAGCAGCCGGCUGUCAGGCCAGUCGGCGCGGUACAAGACGAAUACCCUGAAGAACAUGGAGCCUACGUGGUGUUCACCAGUAUGGCUGAUGAUCGACGCAGCAGGUAGCUGCAGCGACAAGAGGUGAAUGCAGUAGCAUCAGAGACGCCUGAGUUCAUGCACUGGUCCGAGAAGCCUAUCAGCUGGAGCAGGGCUGACCACCCAGAGGUGAUGCCAAGUCCGGGCUGCUAUGCCUUGGUCUUGGACGCCACCUUUGCUAUGGAUAAACGAGCCACGCAUUUCUUGCGAGUUCUGAUAGACGGAGGCAGCAACAUCAAUAUCCUGUACAAAGACACCAUGGAGAAGUUAGGAAUCAAGCAAAGACAGCUUCAGAACAGCCGGACUGUGUUCCACGGCAUUUUUCCUGGGCUUUCCUGCUCACCAAUCGGCAAGGUCCUGAUGGACGUCCUCUUUGGAAACAAAGAUCACUUCCGCCGAGAGUCGGUUUGGUUUGAGGUGGUGGACCUUAAGAGCCCAUACCAUGCGCUACUCGGCCGACCCGCCUUGGCCAAGUUCAUGGCGGUCCCCCACUACGCCUACCUCAAAAUGAAGAUGCCCAGUUCCAGGGGAAUUUUGACUGUAGCCGGCGACUACCGGAAGUCGUCUGCUUGUGUGGCUGAGAGCUGUCGGCUAGCCGAGUCCCUGGUGAUCGCGUCCGAGAAGCGGCUCCUUGAGCGAGUUGUGGCGAUGGCCGGCAAGCAACCAGAGGUAUCGCCCAACCCAAAUGAGUCGGAGGCUGAGGGUUCGUUUAAGCCAGCCAAAGAGACAAAGAAGAUACCCUUGGAUCCAGAGCACCCAGAGAGGUAUGCUGUCGUAGGCGCAAACCUCGACAACAAAUAGGAAGGUGUGCUCGUCGAUUUCCUCCAUGAGAAUCGGGACAUCUUCGCAUGGUCCCCAAAGACAUGCCAGGUGUACCGACGGAAUUCGCCGAGCACAAGUUACAUGUCCGAGCUGAUGCAAAGCCGGUCAGGCAACCCCUGCGCCGCCUAUCAAAAGAGAAGAGAAGAGUUGUCGGAGAAGAGAUAGCCCGACUCCUAGAAGCCGGCCUCAUUAUGGAAGUGUUCUUUCCAGAAUGGCUAGCAAAUCCGGUCCUGGUACUGAAGAAGAACAAGCAGUGGCGAAUGUGUAUUGACUACACGAGCCUCAACAAGGCCUGCCCCAAGGACCCGUUUGCUCUACCAAGAAUCGAUCAGGUGAUAGACUCCACAGCCGGAUGCGAGCUGUUGAGUUUUUUGGAUGCAUACUCAGGAUAUCACCAGAUCAAGCUGAACCCGGUUGACAGACUGAAGAACGCCUUCAUCACGCCGUUUGGAGCAUUCUGCUACCUCACCAUGACGUUCGGCUUGAGGAAUGCCGGCGCCACCUUUCAGCGUUGCAUGCAGAAGUGCCUCCUCAAGCAGCUCGACAGGAACGCCCACGUCUACAUGGACGACAUGGUGGUGAAGACGGAAAAGCGUGGAACACUGCUAGAAGACCUCAAGGAGACCUUUGAGAACCUGCGCUGAUUCCAGAUCAAGCUCAACCCCGAGAAGUGUGUCUUCGGGGUACCAGCCGGCCAGCUCCUUGGCUUCCUGGUCUCCGAACGCGGCAUAGAGUGCAACCUUGUAAAGAUCAAGGCCAUUGAGAGAAUGGAGGUACCCAGCCGACUGCUGGAUGUGCAAAAGUUCACCGGCUGCUUGGCGUCCAUCAGCCGAUUCAUCAGUCGGCUGGGCGAGAAAGCUCUCCCCUUAUACCAACUCAAGAAGAAGAGCACUUUUUUCGAGUGGAACCAUAAGGCGGACGAAGCUUUUCUCCAGUUGAAGAAGAUGCUGACUACUCCACCCAUCCUAGCGGCUCCGACUCCUAAGGAACCUAUGCUCCUGUACAUCGCCACCACCAGCCAGGUAGUUAGCAUGGUCGUUGUAGUGGAACGCAAGGAGGAAGGCAAGGCACUACCUGUCCAGAGACCGGUAUAUUACCUGAGCGAAGUACUGUCGACCUCCAAGCAGAACUACCCCCACUACCAGAAGAUGUGCUAUGGCGUACACUUUACUGCCAAGAAAUUGAAGCCUUACUUUCAAGAGCAUCCGAUCACUAUGGUCUGCACGGCCCCACUUGCCGAGAUCAUCGGAAGCCGAGAUGCUUCUGGUCGAGUGGCCAAGUGGGCCAUAGAGCUGGCUCCCUACACCAUCCACUACCAUCCCCGCACCGCCAUCAAGUCACAAGCAUUGGCUGACUUUCUCGUCGACUGGGCCGAGACCCAGUACCUACCUCCAGUGCCUGACUCCACCCAUUGGCGGAUGCAUUUUGAUGGCUCCAAGAUGCGCACUGGCUUGGGAGCCGGCAUCGUCGUCACCUCUCCUAAAGGCGACAAGCUCAAAUACGCAUUGCAAAUCCAUUUUGCUGCCUCCAACAAUGUCGCCAAGUACGAGGCGCUCAUUCACGGGCUCCGGCCUGCCAAAGAACUUGGCAUUCACCGGAUCUUGUGUUAUGGCGACUCGGACUUAGUGGUCCCACAGUCAUCUGGCGAAUGGGACGCCAAAGAUGCAAACAUGGCGAGUUACCAUUUCCUCGUGCAGUAACUCAGUGGGUAUUUUGAGGGGUGCGAGUUCCUCCAUGUGCCAAGAAACGACAACGACCAAGCAGAUGCCUUGGCAUGAAUCGGCUCUACCCGCCAAGCAAUACCAUCCGGUGUUGCCCUUCAACGCCUCCUCAAGCCGUCUGUCAAGCCUUCACUAGAAUCAGACUCCAUCUUUGUGCCGGCUCCUCCCGAAGAGGUCGGAUCCGACUCCAGAGCCCCGACAAACGGUACGGGGAUUUUGGCAGAUGGCUCCAAAGCCGGCACAGUCGAGGCCGGCCCAGGGACCACAGUACCCGGCCCGGGGACUGCGGCGGCGGACUCGAAGACUCCAGGACUCGGCCCAAGAGCCGCGCCAGUCGGCCUGAGGACUUCAUUAACCCAGCAAGCGGUUGUUGACUCCAACCCACCGCCUCCCAGCCCAACCGCCCUCGUCCAAGUCGCAGUUCUGGCAGUCGAAGAAAUAGCAGCACCCUCAUGGGCCCAGCCCAUCCUAAAAUUCCUGGUGAGCAAAGAGCUGCCGACUGAUGAGACCUCAGCUCGGCAAGUACAACACCGAGCGGCAGCCUACACCAUAGUCAACAGAGAGCUGGUCAAGCGCAGCGUCACUGGUGUCUACCAGCGCUGCGUAGAGCCAGAGCAAGGCCAAGCAAUUCUCAAAGACAUCCAUCAAGGCGAGUGCGGCCACCAUGCGGCUUCAAGAGCACUCGUCGCAAAAGCCUUUCGACACGGUUUCUUCUGGCCGACUGCCUUAGAAGAGGCCAAGGAAUUGGUCCAAAAAUGCAAAGGGUGCUAGAAGUUCAGCUCCAAGCCGCACCAGCCGGCUUCUGCACUCAAGACCAUCCCCAUUGCCUGGCCUUUCGCAGUUUGGGGUCUAGACAUGGUGGGACCAUUCAAGACAGCACGAGGUGGCUUAACGCACUUACUUGUCGCAGUGGACACAUUCACCAAGUGGAUAGAAGCGAAGCCAAUCAAGAAACUGAACGGUCUGACUGCCGUGACUUUCAUCUCCGAUAUCACAAUUCGGUACGGCAUACCACACAACAUCAUCACCGACAAUGGCACAAAUUUUGCCAAAGGCGCCUUGGCCCGUUUUUGCGCAACACAGGGCAUCCGACUGGACCUAGCGUCCAUCGCCCAUCCACAGUCAAACGGCCAGGUGGAGCGAGCAAAUGGCCUCAUCCUGUCCGGCAUCAAACCCCGGCUGAUCGAGCCUCUGGAGUGCUCGGCUGGCUACUGGCUCGAUGAGCUACCAGCCGUCCUCUAGAGUCUGCGCACGACUCCAAACAAGUCAACCGGCUUCACGCCUUUCUUCCUCGUCUAUGGUGCAGAAGCCGUCAUCCCAACGGACAUAGAGUUCGACUCCCCACGAGUCACCAUGUACACCAAGGAGGAAGCAGAAGAAGCACGUCAAGACGGCGUCGAUCUGCUGGAAGAGGGCCGGCUGUUGGCACUCAGCUGGUCCAGCAUCUACCAGCAGAGCCUGCGCCGAUACCACAACAGGAAGGUCAGGCCAAGAUCUUUCCAAGAAGGCGACCUUGUGCUCCGGCUGAUCCAGCGAACAACCGGCCAGCACAAGCUGUCGGCACCUUGGGAAGGCCCUUUCAUCAUCAGCAAAGUGCUGGGCAAUGACUCCUACUACCUGAUUGACGCUCAGAAGCCCCGAGCACGCAAGAGGGACAACUCCGGCAAGGAGACAGAGCGGCCAUGGAAUGCAAAUCUCCUCUGAAGAUUUUACAAUUAAUGCAGUAUGUACCACACUACCUUUUGUAUUAAAGUAUCAAGGCUUCGGGCCCCCCAAGACGAGCUCGGGGACUGCCCUCUUUUGUCUGUAUGAUAAAAAUUAGGCCUACAAGUAUGUUACUCUUUGUUAUGCCGCUUGGCACCGGGCUCGACAAGUCGGCCCGGGGACUUGCCGUCUUGCACUACGAAAUGCUUCCUGCAGCCGGACAAGUAGUGUGUAACGCCUAAACUGUCUCCCGUCAGAAGCCGUAGCUUGCAGAGCGACUGCGCGGUGGGUAGGAGUAAGGUAGAAUGGGCGUUCGCAUGAAAAAUGGCUAAGGACUCAAAGCAUAAAACAUAGCUCAAGACGGUUUCCAGCCUUUUUUCGCAAACCGACUCUUGAAUAGUCGGAUUGCCACCUUCUAUUCAACUUGCUCAAAAACUCUUAAAAACGGCUAAGUACUUGCCUUCCCAAAGUAGCCAAGCAUUUGAUCCAGCGGCAGUCCGCGGAGCAGCUGUCCGAUUAGCAAGACAGGAAACUAAGGGAAAAUGGCAAAAGGAAAAAAAGCCAAAGGAGAAAUGAGCAAGAAAAGAUAGAACUCGGAUAAAUAUUUACGUAACAUAGGCCCUUGGCCGAAUCUUCGAGCAGAAGUCCAAAAUACACCCCGCGGGUGGAAUUGUGCAAAUUAACAAGUUCUUCAAAUACUACUAAAGCAGAUAAAAUAAAGAUAAGGCGGUAGCUUAGGAAGCAGCGGACGGAUUCGGAGGGUCGUAAGAGGCGGCAGCGUCAGGCGUUGGGGCGGCCGGCUGGGUAGUCUCGGCUUGAUCGCCUCCGGCGGCAGUCAGCUCGGUCGCACGCGGCUCGUUGCUGGAGGCGCAGUCGAGCUGAGGCUGGCCGUCUGCUCCGUCUUCUGGCGCUUCCGUCUUGCCUCCAUCCUCCGCCUCGCCUUCCUCCUCGACGCUGGAGCUGAUCACCUCCGCCGAGUCCUCGCUGUAGUCUGGGUUCAUCCCAAACCACUCCGGCGGUACCUCCUCGCCAUCUUCAGACCGCUUGGGGAUGAAGAUGCUAGUAUCGGUGUACUCAGCAAUCGCCGCGGCACGCUUGACGAGGGCAUCUUCUGCGGCUGCCAGCUCCGGCUGGGCCUCUGUCCGGAGGGUGGCCAGCCGGUCUAGAUCCAGCCCCGGAUACCACACCUUGACGAACUGCAAGGCCCAGCGCGCUCCAGCUCAGGCCGAGGAACCCUUCCAGGCCUCAAGAUGACCAGCCGCGACCUCAAGCCAGUCGGCAGUCAGGCUGGGGGUGCACGGAGCCUGCAUGUCCAGCCACAGGGCGGCAAUCACCUGGGCGCCGACACGUUGAAGCUAGUGCAACAUCUGGUGAGUCAGCCGAAGGCGAGCCUUGAUGCUCAGGAUAUGCUCAUCAAGGGUUCGAGGGGCGUCUGCGGCAAUCUCUGCACCUUCUGCCCUCCAACCUUCACGGUCAGCCUCGAUGGCUUGGAUGGCGGCCUGCGAGUGCCCAGGGAAGAAGUCUGCCAAGACGGAAGAAACGAAGAAGCAAGUCAAAAACCAGGAGUCGGCACGACUUAUAGUCGGCAGCUCGAAGAAAGAAAGUAAAGAAACUCACCAUCAACGAUGUCUUCAAUCUUAUGGAAGCCGGAGGCCAGCAUUGCCUCCUUGUCAGUCCAGGAGGAGCGCUCGCUCGCGAACUCAGCCAGGAGGGCGGUUUCCGUAUCUUCCGCCUCCUUCUGUGUCUUCACAAGCAGCCCCCUCUGCUCUGCCAAUUGAGUGGCCAGCAGAUCGCGCUUUGUGGCGAGCUUGCUGCACUCCUCCCCCUUGGUGCGCAAUGCGGAGUUGGCUUUGCUCAGCUGCUGUUGAAGAGCAGCGUUGGCUCCUGAAGAGAAGGAAGGAAGAAGGCGUUAAGUCAUCAAUAAAGAAGGUCACCGGGGAGAUCCGGCCCGACUGCUUAGCAGUCGGCCCGAAUCUCGGGGACUACAGCCCGCGGGUGCGCCAGCGCGCCCCCACAAAGAGGAAAAAGGACUUACUCCGGCUCUCCGACAAGUCGGCGGUCCGCUUGCCCAGCUCUUCAACGUUACGAUUGAAGGCAGUAACGCGAAGGUUGUGGUAGUCCUGCGAGAAGUGUUUCAGACAAAAGUUAGUACCCAGAGCUCACCAAUUGGAGUUCCGAGCUGCCUGCACCCAGUGGGUGUGCUGGCGCGCCCCCACAGAGAGGAACAAGAAAACAAGGACCAAAGAAAAAACAUACCCGGACGGCUGCCCGCGAUGCCAGGUACGCCUUGGUGCAGUUCUGGAGGGCGUCGUCCUCAGUUCGAAGCUUCGCCUGGACGUACAGAAGCGCCUGGUUCAGCGGCCCUGUGCCGCCUCCUCACACCCACCCAAUAGGCGCGGCGCUCGUCGCUUCGGCGUUUGGGAUCGCCGAGCUGGCGAUGCCAGCCUCCAGGGGGCGGGGUGCCGAGGUCGCCUUCUCCAAACGGCGGCGCGUUGGCGAGCCGACUUGGAGAAGCAGCCUCGCCACGGCCUCGUCUUCGGUCGGCGUCACCAGAGGGUCCUCUAGCUGUUUGCCUUGCGCGCUCCCAGACGGCAGCGGAGGCGGCGGCGGAACGAUCACAUCCGGCGUGGAGGAGUCGCCGCCUUCCCUCUCCAUGAUGGGGUUCUCGCUGCCGGCUUCCCCAGUCUGCCCCGUGAACUCCGGAGGCGGCGGCGCAGAGUUCAGCAGGGUGACGAACACCGCCGAUUGGCGGUGCGCGGCCUCCUCAGCCUGCCGCUUCGUCGCGGCGGCGGCUUCGGCCUCGACCAGUUUCUUCUUGGCGGAGGCCUCCGCCUUAUUGGCCUCCACCUUCUCCAGGCGGGCGACCUAUUCCUCGUUGCGCUUCUCCUGCGCAUUCCACUCCCUUGCCUCUCGGAGGUCGAUGGCGGGGUCAAUCCGCCGGGUGGAGGCGGACGUCUCCGCUGACCCCAUGACGGAGGCGGCGGCAACCCUCUCAAGAGUAAGGGGAGCCCUGAAGCAAAGGAAGCAAGUAAGAGACUCAGACAAAGCUACAGAGAAAGAAUAAAGCGUUGAGAUGGAAUACUCAUGCGGAGACCAGUGGCAGCUUCUUCACUUCCUUACGGAAGCAGAUGGCCUUCACAGCCGCCUCGUCCCGCCGGGUCGAAGCAGCCGAACCCUUGGGCUUCUUCGGACGACUGCCGAACAAAGUCGGCACGGCCCUACGCUUCUUCCCGCCGCCUGGAGCACCCGGCGCGGCAGAAGAGCCCGUGCCAGGCUGGCUGGCUCCUGGCCGUUGGCGGGGGGCGACUUCUCCCUCGGCCUCGUAGUCAGGCCAGUCGGCGAACAUGGCCGAAGGCCUGGAGCCGCCUGCUGAUCCUCCUCCUCCCUCUGCGUCAUCUUCCAAAGCCGCCGCUCCCAGAUCGGGGUCGUCGAGUCGCUCUCUGCCUGGUCGGCAAAGAACUCGCGGGCCGGCCCCGAGGUGCCGGCUGGUGGAUGGAGGAGGGAUGAAGGCGCUGCAUUGAGCCGGCACGCCUGCAGCCUGGGUGCUGAGCUUGGAGAAGAAGAACUCCCCCCAGAGCUCGAGGGUGGGGAGGACGCCGAGGAAGCCUUCGCACAAGGCCACGAAGGCGGACAACAACACCACCGUGUUGGGCGUAAGGUGGUGCGGCUGGAGGCCGUAAAACUCCAGAAAAGAGCGGAAGAAGCUGCUCGCCGGCAGCCCCAGCCCGCGCAGGCAGUGCGAGCGGAAGAUGACCCGCUCGCCCUCCUGCGGCGCAGGGGAAAUCUCCCCCCUCGGCGUAAGACGCACCCGCACGUAAUCUUCGCCGGGGAGACGACGAGUCUUGUGGAGGAACUGGAUGUGGUCAUCAUGAACCUCUGAGCCGUCCCAGGUGCCGGAGCGCACCGGGGGAGGCGCAGCGGCAGAAGAAGAGCUCAUUGUGAGCUGAUCGCCGCGGCGUUCGUCGAAGUUUGGGCGCGCGGCGGAGCAAAGAAGAAGGAGAAGAGUAAGGAGUAGUGAGAAGGAGGGGCGCGCAUGCUCUGCCGUGCCCCCCUCUUUCCCCUACUUAUAGCCUCAUGGGCUACGAAGCCGAGGGGGCGGUAGUGGGAUUUACUGUGCCCACGACCCCACGACCCCCGUGUUUUCACGACAAAGUUACUGCGCGCAGUAACUCCAUGGGAAUCCCAACCGUCCGCCUGGGCCACAACGGAUCCGCUCGGGCGCCGAGGCGCGGUAGUGGCGGGCCCCGCCUAUGGGCCUGUCCCGUCGCCCGCGUAGGCAGGCAGAAUGGCCCGGCCAUGUGUUACCACGUGACAAGCCUGGAGCGGGUGGCAGCCUGGAGGCUUAGCCAGCACGCUACCUGGAUCCCGCCGCGACGUUCAGAAUAUUGUGCGAGUCAGAGUUGGGCGAGUCCGACUCCUUCUAGCCGGCUCGGCAGAAGUCAACCAGGAGCCAUGUGUCGAGUACCCGGAAAGAGAAGCUACUGAGGCUUCUCGGCCGAUCGUCCGUGGCGCCUCACCAGCUUCGGGGACUACUAUCGGAGUAAUGGGCCACGGGUAGGCCAGCCCGAGCCCCAGAACCUUUCAAGACAUCGGGGCAGGCCGCGCCCCUCAAGACCCCAGGACGAAGAGCCGCCUUCUGAGAAGUCGGCGGCAAGACGGCCGACUGCCCACUCGCGGCCGAGUCCCAGGGGUGACUUCAGGAUAAGCCGACUCCUGACUAGCGACUUUCAGAGAAGCCCGCUUCGGGGAGUCAGCCCGCGACUCCGACGAACCCAUAUCCUCAUCAGGAGGGACAGGACCGGGGAGUGGCUACAGUAAAGCCCGCUCCCGCCCUUUACCAAGGGCAAGCAUGGCCACAUCACGUCGUACCAGGGGAGAUCUCCAUGCGGCGUGGCACUGUUGCCAUGCUAGCCCUGACAUCAGCGCCGAAGGACCGAAUCCAGCGCCCACGACGGCUUGUCUGUACGACCCUGGGGGGCGGGUCCCACCAGUCAGUGGGACCCCAGGAGGUGGCAAGCGCGCCACCAGUCGGCCCCCGGAGUCAGCUAGACCCUCCCCGGGGCCCACGCGCCAUUAACCAGAUGUGACGGAGAGUGGCAAUAGUGAUCGCCCGCCAGGCGGCGGGCUGUUGCCACGACCCCAUGAUCAAGCCCGCGUCAUUAGAAGCACUGCUACAAUAAUCAGCAGCCGGUAAGACCCGCCCGUGGUGGACGCGGCCUGUCGGCUCCGUACCUGGCCAGUCGGCGGGGCCCACCAGUCGGCGGGCCCCAGCAGUCGGUGGAGAAGACGGAGGCCAGAGGCACUAACGGCUGGGCCCAUGUCCAGCCGGAUUACCAUUGUACCCCUGGGGGUAGGCCUAUAUAAACCCCCAGGGCACCCAUGCAAAGGGUUGGAAUCCAUUAGUCCUAGACCAGAUGAUAUAGGAGGAAGAGAUCUAGCCUUGCCCUCUCCUACCUCCAGGAAGCAGCUCAAGGAGCAAUCGUGUAAACAUCUUGCCAUAGUGAUCAUGCGGAGACCCCGUAGAGCAGCAGUAGGGGUAUUAUCUCCCCGGAGAGCCCUGAAGCUGGGUAAGAUUCGCCGGCGUGCAUGUCUACGCCUCAUCCCGUUUCCAGGCGCCGGCGACGUUCUACUCACCCCCACCAUGAUAAGCCAUCCUUUGGCAUAUGUCGCACCCAACCCCCGACAAUCGCUAUCCUCUGGAUCCGAGUCGGUGUCGUCGAUGAUGAUGUAGUCUUCCGGGCGAAUCUCCUUGGGUUCUUCGUCUUCUUCUACUAGUGUAUGGCCUCCCAUAAAUAUUCCAAUCUUCUUGAUCAGAUCGUCAUUCUUCUCUACUAAUACUUCGAUUUCCUCUUCAUAAUCUUCACAUGUAGCCUUGAGUUCUUCCUCCAGUUCCUUGAUUCUUGUCUUUGCCUUCUUCAAAUCUAUCAUGUCGGCGCACAUCUGGUUCUCCUGACAUCGAAUGUGCUGGUUUAACUCCUGGAUAAAAGCGGCAACUGAUCUAUCCUUCCUGGUACUGAUCAUGUCCCAGUGCUCAUCUCGGCGCCCACAAAUCUGGUAGAUAGUAUCCUUGAGAUCAUUGCGGUAGACUUCUCCAAUGCGUCCCAUGGCGAUGUGAGCUGCCAUGCUCUUUCCUAGAUCCCAAGUUGGUGCAUCAAAAGAAAACUCUAUGGGCCCAGUGACUGGCAUGAACGUCCUUCCUGGAACUUGAACUUGAAUCAUCCAGCGCUCCUCUUCAGUUAGAGUGGCGUUGUAAGUUCCGGUGAAGCUUGGUACUCCUAUGUUUAGGUAUCUAGUGACUUCCUUCAAGUGACGUCCAAAGGGUGUAUCUUCAUCCGGUUGGGUGAACUUGUUCCAUGCAUUCGCCAUCCUAAAAGAGUAGGAAAAGAUGAGAAGUCAGAAAGAGAAGAGAGUGAGUAGUGAUCUAGGUCUUUUAGCUUAGUGGUCGUGUCCUACAGUCAGCGUGUGCUCUAAUACCAUAUUGUAGCGACCAGACCUCAAACGGUCCAAUCUCUGUGCUCAGGUGUCAUCUCUGGAUCAGUAAUGCUGACACCACACAGUACUUGAAGGAUUUAUAACAGAGUAGCAAUCACACACUUAUUACAUCGAGUGUCUCAAAAGAGAACUUAUUAUAAUAAAUAUGGCUUAAGGCCAUCUAAUAACGAUAACAGUAGAAGGCUUGGAAGAUAAGUGAGUCCAUCAACUCCAACGGCAUCACUGAGUAUAGAACCACGACCUAAAAGCACCUUAAUUGUCGUCUGAAAAGUCUGCAACAUUAACAUUGCAGCCCGAAACGGGUCAGCACAUGGAAUAUGCUGGCAAAGUAAGUAAUGGAAUGAAAUAGGCUAUUCUAUAUGCAUAUUUGGCUAGUGGAAAACUAUAUGGUUACAGUUUUGCGUAAAGACAAUUUUUUUCCUACUUCACAGGAAUAAAUUUUAUUUAACUAUCAUGGUAGUUGUUAAACAUUGAGAAUGGUUGACAUCAUUCUCAAUCCCAAUUAAGCAUCAUCAUUAAACAUAACCCAACAAAAUUAAUUUUAGAGUAACAUGAUGAGAUUCACAUGAUAAUCCAAGUACUAGAUACUCAAGAUGUCCAUAACCCGGGACACGGCUAAUCAUGAUUAGUUUAUACACUCUGCAGAGGUUUGCACACUUUUCCCCACAAGACUCGAUCGCCUCCGUUUGAUUUCUCGCACUACAAGGUGUUUGAGAAACGGAUGACCAAGACAUAGUCUCUCAGAAGCGCUAGCACCUUACGAACGGGUAGACCGUUACACCUAGUUUCCCCUACAUCUGCUAGUCUACCACUGUAAGAGUUCACACGACUUAAUCAACUAUGCUAGAGCCCAUAGUAGCUUGUGGCUGCACAUGGAGGUUUCUAGCAUGAAUAAUCUCAUGAUCCCUUUGAGUCUGGGUGGCGGUCCAAAAGAAAAACAUGCAAUCGCUGGAAUACCCAGGUGCCUCAAUCCACCCAGAUGUGUAUUUAAGUUGCCACCUUAGAUAGACCAUUAAUUUAACAAACUCACAUCUGUCAUGGAUACACUCACCCAAUCCAUGUCUACUAGCAUAGCAUGGCACAAUAAGCAAACGUAGAAGUAACUCCCAAAGGUUUGAUAAUAACAGGUAAUAGGUACUACCUCAACUACUUCCCAAGCCCACAAUUUAAUUAGAUCCUUAUCAUGCAAUGUGUGAGGAUUGAUCUAAUGCAAUAAAAUUGGGUAGUAGGAGGUAUGAUUAAAGUGUUACUUGCCUUGCUGAUGAUCCGCAAAACCUAGCGAUUCGAAGUAGCAAGCGGCGCACUCCGGGUACUCUAUCACAAACAAACAAGCAUACAAUAAGUACUCAACUAGUGCAUAGGUAAAACUCGAAUAAAAGAUCUAACCAGAAAGUUCAUCUUAAGAACUCCGGUUGGCACAAGAAAUCAAAUCAAAUGAAGCAACGAAAGACAAACGACAAAAGAAACAGGCUUCGUUGGCAAAAACUUGUUUGAGUUGGUUAAACGGAAAGAUAGUUUCGAGACAAAACUCCAGGCGCUUGAAUCGCCUGAUUCUGAUAAACGAGUGAAAAAUUAGACUAAAACAAAAAUCAAAUCAGGAAUCGCGAUCUAAAAAAUCGCGGAUUUAAUCUGAGAAAAAGAAAAACGACGAACGUUCGUUAAAACGAACAAACGGACGAACGCUCGCUAAUUAAAUAAACCAGAAAAACCGAUCUAUUUAAAAAAAUGAAACUAAAAAAAAUUGAACAAAACCGACGGAAAACCGAUCGGUUUUCUAAAAUAACCGAUGACGAAAAAAAAA